ACUACACACAAAUCUCUUGCAACUCUAAAUCUCUACCAAUGGCACCCAAAAGAGCCCGAAGAUCACAAGGAACAAGCACCCAAGCCCCCGCAUCUAGCGAUUCUUCCUCGAUGGGUGAGGUUGAGUUCACCUCCGAUGGAGCACGAACCGAGUUUCAACGGCUUAUGAAUAAGUCGUUAGUCAAGGAGAGGGGAUUCUUACCCACGGCGGAAGAUGGUGAGCUUUUGAACAUGGUUCAAGAGCCGGGUUGGGAGUCUUUUUGCGAGGCUCCGGAGGCGGUUCCCUUGGCUAUUAUUCGAGAGUUUUAUGCUAAUGCCAAGGAGAAUCGCAAUGGAUUCACGGUGGUGCGGGGAAUCCGGGUGGAUUAUAGUGCGGAUGCAAUCCGUAGAGUCAUUGGGGGGCGUGCCAAGCGCCGUAAUGAAGAAGAUUGGGUGGUUGAGAGGAUUGGGCGUGCCAAACGCCGGUUUGAUGAUGAUCCGAUUGAUCUUGAGCGGUUGGUGUAUGACAUUUGUGUACCGGACACGCAUUGGAAGAUGACUGCACCUCCUUUGCCGGCACAUGUUUCUUUUCCUGCAGCCAGUACCGGACACGCAUUGGAAGAUGACUGCACCUCCUCUGCCGGCACAUGUUUCUUUUCCUGCAGCCGCUCUGAACCGGUAUGCGAAGGCAUGGAAUGCCUUCAUAUGUGCUAAUAUCAUGCCAUCUUCACAUGGGCAUGAGGUGACAGUGGAGAGAGCUAUUCUGCUCUUUGGGAUUGUCUCGGGCAAGUAUAUUGAUCUGGGACAUGUUAUUCAUCAGGGGAUUCUGAGGUUCUUGAAGGGAGGAACCACUGGUGCCAUUCCAUAUGGCACAAUUGUGACGAAGCUCUGUCGAUCGAGCGGUGUUCGUUGGCCAUCCAACGAGCAAUUACAGUUGCCAGGGACACCUAUUGAUCAUUCGGCGAUCAGUCGGAUGACAGAGUGGGAUGGAGGAGUUCCCCACCCUCGAGGCCUCGGGUACUUAUAUGAUGAGAUGCCAGGGGGACGUCCAGAGUUUGUGAGGAGGGAGCAGCCUAGAGCUUCUGGAGCUGGUACUUCACAGACGGAGAGGAGCUCCGAACCGAUGGGAGAUGCUCAUUAUCGCCGCCUAGCGAGACGGAUGGAUACCAUGCAUGACAUCCACCAGAGGUUUGCUUUUGACUUGACACAGGCUCUAGGUAGUGCUUUCCAGGCACAGGGGGUCACAGUUCAGUGGCCAGUAUUCGGAGCAGGGAUGCAGUAUCCUCCACCUGAUUCACCUCCAGCAGAGGAGGGGGAGGACUCGGACUCCGAGUAGGUAUGUGGGUGCUCUAGCCUUUUUAUCACUCUCAAUGGGGACAUUGAAAAUUUUAAGUUUGGGGGUGGUAAUCUAAGGAAGAGCAUAUUAUUAGAUAGUUUUUUUUAUUUGCAUGGGUUAGUUAGUUCAUAUAGUUCAUGGGUUAGUUAGUUCAUAUAGUUCACGUUUUUUUUUUUUGCUUUGAUUAUUUCUCACGUUUUCUUUCUAUUUUUCUCAUAUUUUCUUUAUGUUUACAUGUUUAGUGGUAAUUGUCGUAGUUAGUAUCACGAGCAUUUGCAUGAAUUAUGAAGUUAAGCCAAGUUAAUUGCCUAUGAUGAGUUAUGUGCGUAGUUCUUGAUUAGUAGUUUCAAUUGCAAUGCUAGGUUAGUACUUGGAAAUUGCUUGUGUUGGAAAUUGUAAUUCACAUAUGUUCUUGAGAUAGGAUUUAGACGAUGCCUUUCUAAAUAGAAAAAAAGAAAAGAAAAAGAAAAAAAAAUAGUAGUAAAUAAAUUCACUAGAAAAAAAUAAGUGGUAGAAUUAACUAGGUUGAGCUCAUUAGUACUCGAGUAAUUAAGUCUGAGGGGACUUUGUGCCUAACAACCUAAAGCCCUUCGUGGUUUGGGAUUGUUGACCCAACGCUCGCUACAUGGGUACUAGUGCAUAAAUCUUUAGGGAUCUCAACCAUUGCACGGUUAAAUAAACCACUAGAAUAGAGUGAAUAAUUGGUGUGUGAAGUCUUGUGGUGUUCGUAACGCAUUUACACUGCGAAGCGCUCUGACCUUAGACCGAGCAAUUAAUCACCAAUAAAAAGGAGAAAAAAAAAAGAAAAAAAAAAAUAUAGUGAAUAAAAUAGAAGGGUGUGGACAUUCUUUGGGACCUUGGCUUUAGUUGGACUUGAGUGACGGGGUGUUAGUUUUAAACUUUUACUAUUCUUGAUUGGGAUUCUGUGGGAGUAGUAGUUUUUGUCUUGUCUCAAUAAAAGAGCAUGCUUGCACACACUGGCACUCCACACUUGUAAAUAGAAGAGUAAUUGACUUAGUAGCGAGAGAGAUGAAAUUCGAGAACAUUAGCACAAUCUGAGGUAUUAUAAUUGGCAAGGCAAUUACUUCAUAGUUCACUCAUUCAUCACGUAGUUGCAUUCAUGCAUUGCAUUGUAUUAUUGUAUAGUGUCGUUGACGCUUGAGGACAAGCAUCAGUUUAAGUUUGGGGGUGUGAUAAGUGGUAUUUAUACACACUUAUAGGCCUUCAUUUCCACUUAAAUUGGUUGGUUGUACUUAAGUGUUUAGUGUCUUUUGAUGUGUUUUUAGUGUUUUUCUGUGCAGGUCACGAGUUGAGGUGAUGAAGUGAUUUUCUAUCAUUUUAGGUUGUUUUUGGUGCAUUAUUUGCAAGAAUAGAGAAUUGUGGAUUCAUCACGACUUGGGAUUUUGUGGGUACAUCUUCUACAAACCCUCACGAGAGCACACUCGUCCACUAGAGCUAUCUAGGGGUUUAAAGGGCUUGUUGCAUGUGCUAAAUGCAACCGUGAUCACCUACGGAAGUGGUACUAGAGCGAGGAAGGACAUGCACGCGAGAACGAGCGAGAAACGAAGAAACAGGGCUGCCAUGACAGACAGUAGCGCGCCCGCGCUACUUGUUAGCGCGCCCGCGCUACCUUCUGCUGCCACUAGCGCGCCUGCGCUAGUUUAGCGCGGCCGCGCCCAGCAGAAGUGCCCCGGGCCGAUUUUUACAGCUUUUCUGACGGAUUUUCGCAGCGGUCGAGGCCCGGUUGACUUGGUCAAUGUAAUUUAAUUUCUCGUGUGUAAAACCCUAGCCUCGUAGAAGUAGUUUAAUAGAGAACAAUAUCGUAAGUUAGUUUUAAUCAUUCAAGCACAUUAUCAGUUUGUAUUAGAUCGUUCUUCGCGAGGAAGUGACAGUUUCGAGCGAGAUCGUGAACUUCAAAUCUGUAACGUGUGAUCUUUAUUAUUAAUUCAAGCAUUUUUAUUCCGUUUAAUUCUCGUCUUUUAUUUAUCAUGUUUUCAUUAGAACCCAUGAUGUCGAUUAGUUCGAUUAUGAACUAACCGCCUUCAUGGGAUUCUAAUGGAUUUAUCGAUGUAGUCUAGUAACGAAUAUUAAUUACUUGAUUUUGUGACGUACGUUGAUUUCUUUGCAUGAGCCGUGCUUAUUCUUCUUAGGAGCGUAGCUAACUUCUAAGUUGUUUGUUAAUUCUUUCUGAAGCGAGAGUGGAUGAUUGAAUUUAGAACUAUGCCAUGUAAACAUAGGAUUAUGUGAAUGAAACAUAAUUUGUGGUAGACUUGAACUAUUUUUAUCACCCUGUGUAAUCACGAUAGACGACUUGUUAUUAAACCUCUCUGCUUACACUACCGCUAUAGAGAUAUAGGGUCUGAGCUUUGUUGGUGUCCAUGAGAUUUCUGUCUUAAUUGUGGAUUUUGAUUGGUAUGAUAUGUGUGCAACGAGAGUUGGCAUGUAUUACUUUCGUGUUGUCUGAUUAGGAUCAACAGUCGCAUGUUAAUCAGUAAUUUCAAUUCUAGAUGAAUUCGAUAAUGAAGUUAGAAUCCCAUGUGUUUUCCUAUUCUGAAUUUGAUUAGUAAAUUUAGUUAUUAGUAUAAAAAAACCCAUCCUUGUUAAUUGUCUUGGCAGUGAUAAUUGAUCAUACAUUGUUGCAUAGGUACGUAUUCUUAAUUCACCAGUCUCUGUGGGAACGAACAAAUAUAUUACUUGUGAUCACGUGCGCUUGCGUGUAGAUUUUUGCGAACAAGUUUUUGGCGCCGCUGCCGGGGACUCGGUGUUAAUUAAUUAGUUUAUGUACUUGUCAUCAGUGUGCAUUAAAAUUCACUGACUCGGAUUCUUUUCUCACUUUUCUUAGUUGUUGUUGUAUCUAUUGUUUUUGUUUAGUUAUUUAUAAUGUUUCCUUUGCCUCCUUGGGACUUUAGUUCCAAGUGAGGUAGCUUUUACUGCGUUCUUGGCUGUGUUUGUGCUGUUACAGGGUUACAAUGGAAGAAGUCGAUACCUUUGCACUUCUAUCUUCCAUAGUUGAGGCAUAUUCGUCGAAAGCUACAGAGCCGACCUUGUAUCCGAUGAGUGUCGAUGAGAUGUCACAAGUUGCCCCUCGAACAUACAGCUUUUGUCAGGUUUGUGGUGNNNNNNNNNNNNNNNNNNNNNNNNNNNNNNNNNNNNNNNNNNNNNNNNNNNNNNNNNNNNNNNNNNNNNNNNNNNNNNNNNNNNNNNNNNNNNNNNNNNNNNNNNNNNNNNNNNNNNNNNNNNNNNNNNNNNNNNNNNNNNNNNNNNNNNNNNNNNNNNNNNNNNNNNNNNNNNNNNNNNNNNNNNNNNNNNNNNNNNNNNNNNNNNNNNNNNNNNNNNNNNNNNNNNNNNNNNNNNNNNNNNNNNNNNNNNNNNNNNNNNNNNNNNNNNNNNNNNNNNNNNNNNNNNNNNNNNNNNNNNNNNNNNNNNNNNNNNNNNNNNNNNNNNNNNNNNNNNNNNNNNNNNNNNNNNNNNNNNNNNNNNNNNNNNNNNNNNNNNNNNNNNNNNNNNNNNNNNNNNNNNNNNNNNNNNNNNNNNNNNNNNNNNNNNNNNNNNNNNNNNNNNNNNNNNNNNNNNNNNNNNNNNNNNNNNNNNNNNNNNNNNNNNNNNNNNNNNNNNNNNNNNNNNNNNNNNNNNNNNNNNNNNNNNNNNNNNNNNNNNNNNNNNNNNNNNNNNNNNNNNNNNNNNNNNNNNNNNNNNNNNNNNNNNNNNNNNNNNNNNNNNNNNNNNNNNNNNNNNNNNNNNNNNNNNNNNNNNNNNNNNNNNNNNNNNNNNNNNNNNNNNNNNNNNNNNNNNNNNNNNNNNNNNNNNNNNNNNNNNNNNNNNNNNNNNNNNNNNNNNNNNNNNNNNNNNNNNNNNNNNNNNNNNNNNNNNNNNNNNNNNNNNNNNNNNNNNNNNNNNNNNNNNNNNNNNNNNNNNNNNNNNNNNNNNNNNNNNNNNNNNNNNNNNNNNNNNNNNNNNNNNNNNNNNNNNNNNNNNNNNNNNNNNNNNNNNNNNNNNNNNNNNNNNNNNNNNNNNNNNNNNNNNNNNNNNNNNNNNNNNNNNNNNNNNNNNNNNNNNNNNNNNNNNNNNNNNNNNNNNNNNNNNNNNNNNNNNNNNNNNNNNNNNNNNNNNNNNNNNNNNNNNNNNNNNNNNNNNNNNNNNNNNNNNNNNNNNNNNNNNNNNNNNNNNNNNNNNNNNNNNNNNNNNNNNNNNNNNNNNNNNNNNNNNNNNNNNNNNNNNNNNNNNNNNNNNNNNNNNNNNNNNNNNNNNNNNNNNNNNNNNNNNNNNNNNNNNNNNNNNNNNNNNNNNNNNNNNNNNNNNNNNNNNNNNNNNNNNNNNNNNNNNNNNNNNNNNNNNNNNNNNNNNNNNNNNNNNNNNNNNNNNNNNNNNNNNNNNNNNNNNNNNNNNNNNNNNNNNNNNNNNNNNNNNNNNNNNNNNNNNNNNNNNNNNNNNNNNNNNNNNNNNNNNNNNNNNNNNNNNNNNNNNNNNNNNNNNNNNNNNNNNNNNNNNNNNNNNNNNNNNNNNNNNNNNNNNNNNNNNNNNNNNNNNNNNNNNNNNNNNNNNNNNNNNNNNNNNNNNNNNNNNNNNNNNNNNNNNNNNNNNNNNNNNNNNNNNNNNNNNNNNNNNNNNNNNNNNNNNNNNNNNNNNNNNNNNNNNNNNNNNNNNNNNNNNNNNNNNNNNNNNNNNNNNNNNNNNNNNNNNNNNNNNNNNNNNNNNNNNNNNNNNNNNNNNNNNNNNNNNNNNNNNNNNNNNNNNNNNNNNNNNNNNNNNNNNNNNNNNNNNNNNNNNNNNNNNNNNNNNNNNNNNNNNNNNNNNNNNNNNNNNNNNNNNNNNNNNNNNNNNNNNNNNNNNNNNNNNNNNNNNNNNNNNNNNNNNNNNNNNNNNNNNNNNNNNNNNNNNNNNNNNNNNNNNNNNNNNNNNNNNNNNNNNNNNNNNNNNNNNNNNNNNNNNNNNNNNNNNNNNNNNNNNNNNNNNNNNNNNNNNNNNNNNNNNNNNNNNNNNNNNNNNNNNNNNNNCAACCGAGUUAGCGGAACUCAAGGUACAAUUACAAGAAUUGUUGGAUAAAAAGUAUAUUAGACCAAGUGUUUCUUCUUGGGGAGCGCCAGUGUUAUUUGUGAAAAAGAAGGAUGGUUCUCUACGAUUAUGUAUUGAUUAUAGAGAACUGAAUAAGUUGACUGUAAAGAAUAAAUACCCACUUCCACGAAUAGACGAUCUUUUCGACCAAUUACAAGGAGCCACUUACUUUUCAAAGAUAGAUUUGCGCUCAGGUUAUCAUCAAUUGAGAGUGAAGAAAGAAAGCAUUCCAUUGACGGCUUUUAGGACUCGAUAUGGUCAUUAUGAGUUUGUAGUAAUGCCGUUUGGGGUGACAAAUGCACCUGCGGUAUUUAUGGAUUUGAUGAAUCGAGUAUUUAGGGAUUAUCUGGAUAAGUUUGUAAUUGUGUUUAUCGAUGAUAUUCUGAUUUACUCGAGGACUGAGAAGGAACAUGAGGAGCAUUUAAGGAUAGUCUUAAAAACUUUGAGGAAAGAGCAGUUGUAUGCAAAGUUUUCAAAAUGUGAGUUUUGGUUAAGGAGAGUAAGUUUUCUUGGACAUGUAGUGUCAGAAGAAGGAAUUUCAGUCGAUCCUUCGAAGAUUGAGGUGAUCAUGAAUUGGGAAAGACCAAAGACGGUGACAGAGAUUCGAAGUUUCUUAGGUUUGGCCGGGUAUUAUAGGAAGUUUGUUCAAGAUUUCUCUAAGAUAGCUGGACCAUUGACAAAUCUCACAAGGAAAGACGUUAAGUUUGUUUGGUCGGAGGAAUGUGAGAAAAGUUUUAUUGAAUUAAAGAAUAGACUAACGUCUGCUCCAGUACUCGGAUUACCAGAUGGAACUGAAGAUUUUGUUAUUUAUAGUGAUGCGUCAAGAAAAGGAUUAGGAUGUGUAUUAAUGCAACGUGAUAAGGUAAUUGCUUAUGCAUCUCGACAAUUGAGAAAUCAUGAGAAGAAUUACCCCACCCAUGAUUUAGAAUUGGCCGCAGUAGUUUUUGCGCUUAAAAUCUGGAGGCAUUACUUGUAUGGAGGAAAGUGUAAAAUUUUUACAGAUCAUCAAAGUUUGAAGUACCUCUUUUCACAGAAAGAUUUAAAUAUGAGACAGAGAAGAUGGCUGGAGUUGUUAAAGGAUUAUGAUUGUGAAAUUUUAUAUCACCCUGGUAAGGCGAAUGUUGUAGCUGAUGCGUUAAGUAGGAAGGAAGUCGGGAAUUGUGCGAGUGUCAUGGUAGAAUCAUUGGAUGUUCAAGAAGAAAGACUUGGAAUGGAAUUUGGUAUACAAAAGAAGGAUGAGAGCUUAUUGUGUCAAAUUAAGGUCAAACCGAUGUUAUUAGAAAAGAUAAAGGCAAGUCAGAUUCAAGAUCAACGAUUAAAGGAAAUUUUGAAUAAUUCUAUUUCAGAAUCGGGAAAGAAGGAUUUUAGGAAAGGAAAUGACGACAUCGUGAGGUUCCGCGAUCGAAUAUGUGUACCAUCUGAUAUAGAGAUUAAGAAGGAAAUAUUGUCGGACGCACAUUCAUCAUCUUUUUCGGUACAUCCUGGAUCUACAAAGAUGUAUAAGGACUUAAAGCAACAUUUUUGGUGGCCUAAGAUGAGGAGAGAAAUUGCAGAAUGGGUGGCAAGAUGUUUAGUUUGUCAACAAGUAAAAGCGGAGCAUCAAAGGCCAGGAGGUUUACUACAAUCACUACCUGUCCCUGAAUGGAAAUGGGAACACAUCACCAUGGAUUUUGUAUUAGGGUUGCCAAGGACACAAAGAGGAAAUGAUGUCAUCUGGGUUAUCGUGGACAGACUAACAAAGAGUGCACAUUUUCUAGCUAUAUCGGAAUCAUCACCUUUGGAGAAGUUAGCCAAGUUGUAUAUACGAGAAAUAGUUAGGUUACAUGGAGUACCUGUUUCAAUUGUAUCUGACAGAGAUCCCAGAUUUACUUCGAGAUUUUGGAAUAGUUUUCAAGAAGAGAUGGGUACAAAACUAAGUAUGAGCACGGCAUUUCACCCUCAGACGGAUGGUCAAUCGGAACGUACAAUUCAAAUUUUAGAAGAUAUGUUAAGAGCUUGUGUGUUGGAUUUUAAAGGAAGUUGGGAAGAACAUUUACCUUUAGCAGAAUUUGCAUAUAAUAAUAGUUAUCAAGCAACAAUUAGGAUGGCCCCAUAUGAAGCACUUUAUGGACGUCGGUGUAGAACACCAUUAUGUUGGGAUGAAGUUGGAGAAAGAAGGUUGUUGGGGCCAGAGUUAAUUCGUGUAACUACAGAGAAGGUGAAGUUGAUACAACAAAGGAUUUUAACGGCUCAAAGUAGGCAAAAGAGUUAUGCAGACAAGGAUCGGCGAGAUGUGGUGUUUAGGGAAGGAGAUUUUGUGUUUCUUAAAAUUUCCCCAUGGAAGGGUGUUAUGAGAUUCGGGAAGAAAGGAAAAUUAAGUCCUCGUUAUAUUGGACCAUUUGAGGUCCUUAGAAGAAUUGGAGAAGUCGCAUAUGAGCUAGCACUACCACCAAGUCUUGGACAUAUUCAUAACGUAUUUCACGUGUCAUAUUUGAGAAAGUAUGUCUCGGAUCCAUCGCAUAUUAUAGAUUACGAACCAAUAGAAAUUCAAGAAAAUAUGCAGUACGAAGAACUCCCAAUUGAAAUAGCAGAUCGUCGCGAGCAAAAGUUGAGAACUAAGAUCAUACCUUUAGUGGAAGUUAUUUGGAGGAAUCAUAAUGUGGAGGAAGCAACUUGGGAACCCGAGGAUAUGAUGAGGACAAAGUAUCCUCAUUUAUUCGAUAAGACAGGUAUGAUUUAAAUUUCGAGGACGAAAUUCUUUUAAGGGGGGAAGGAUGUAAUAUCCUGACAUUAUUUUAUUUAAAAAUACAUAACCAGAUGUAAUAUCCUGACAUUAUUUUAUUUAAAAAUACAUAAAUUAUAUGUAUUUUGAAAAAAUAUUAUUAUAUUUUCUUCCUUCUUAAAUUAUGUUCCAUCCCAAAAUAAGAUUUUGGACAAUAUUCAACCCAAUAAUUAUACGGGCCAAAUAUUAAUUAGGCUCAGUCAAGUUACCAAGCCCAAUUUAUAGUUAAUAAGCUCAUUCUCAACCUUAAUAUAUAGUUGAGACAUGAGACCUAUACUCACAUCCUCUCGAUGUGGGAUAAGUUGUUUUUACAAGCAAAUAAGCCUCUUAAGGUUUUAUAGAGGAAGUGAGAUAGACACUUUUAUAAGUUAUCAAUGUGGGACUUUGUUUAUUUUCAUCUAUACUUCUGUUCUUGUAAAGAAUAAUUUUUAAGACUUCCGUGUCCUAUUUAGAAAUUUAAAGUUCUUAUUUUAAUUAGGCUAUGAGGAAAGCCUAGUGAAGGAAUAUACUUAUUUUGAUUAUAUAGAACUUGGUGAGUUCUAUGCUCAACUUCUAUAAUGUAAGGGGUGAGUUCCCUUUAAUCCCAUAAGCAAAUGUACUUGUUGGCUUUAUAUAGACUUGAGAAGGAAAUUCCUUCAAAAUCUCCUCGAUGUGGGAUAUAGACUAAAAGCUAAUAGAAGUCUAGUGAGUUCUGAUUGUUUUAGUUAGUCACAAACCUCUAUUAUAGAGCAUGGAAGAGGUUUACUCUCAAAAACAAUUCGAUGUGGGACAACACUUAUAUGUUUUUACAACCAAAAUGCUGGUGAACGCCUCAGCACUUCGUUUUUAAAAUUUUAAACUGAUUGUUUUGCACAUGCAAUGCCUUCAAAAUUUUUAUUUGUGACUAGCUCCGAGUAGAGCCAAAGCAACAGCUUUUAUAUUAAAAUUUUCUUAUAUUCAUCACUCUACUUCAAUUAUAUAGAGCACGAGAGAGGUGAACUCUCCAAACCACUUCGAUGUGGGAGCAAGGGGGGUUCACACAUUUCUUUAAAGCUUGUAACCAAGUGGUCUUAUAUAGACUUUGGGGGAAGGUUCAUCUCCAAUCCUUAUCAAUGUGGUACAAGUAAAAGCAUAAGAGAGAAAUAGAAUUAACUCACUACCACAUUGAUAACAGGAAUGAAACUUGCUAGGUAUAUAUAGAAAAAGAAAAGAUUACUGUUUGUAACAACUUAAGCUAGUGAGAUGCUACUUCAUUGAUAUUGGCUCUAGUGACAUGCCUAUGCAAAGGAUUUUUAUUUUCAACAUUUUUCUUUCUAUUUAACUUUGUACCACACCGAGAAAGAUAAGGAAACUCUCCCACUUUCCUUGUAUAAAUACACUAUGCUAUAUUAGCUUUCCUAAUUAGGAAACUCAAGGCUUUAAAUUUGUAAGUCCUUCUAUUAUUUGUUUAUUUAUUUAAAAUUAUUACUUUAUUGUGUUUAUUGGUUAUUUAGUAGUCAUUAGUUAGUUAAUUUAGAAGACUCUAAUCAGUAUAAUUUUAGUUUUGGGGUUUAAAAUUAAAACUUGUUAAUCGAGAAUUGUGAUUUAUAUUGAUUAAGACGGGGUUAAUAAUAUCGAGGUUAGAGAUCAAGAAAGGCUCUAAAUUUUAGAAGUGAUUAAGGUAAGUAUAUACUGUACCCUUCACUGUGAUAUUUUAUGAUGUUUUGGUGAAUAUUUUUACUGUUGAUUUUCUGAUGGGAAAUGAGUAUUCUUACAUUUGUUCUGUGUGUGAUGCUUCCUUUGUGAAGUAGUGUGAUACUUCCUUCGGGAAGAAAAGCUAAACCAAUUGUUUAGCUGGCCGGGAUCCCCAACAGUAGAACGUGUGAACUUGUGAACAUGUUUGAAUACUCAUACUCAUAUCAAUGGGUGAAACUGUUUUGAUGACUCUGUUGAAUUAUUGAUUUGAUCAAUUAAAGUUUUGUGAAUAAAACUCAGUUGAAUUGUACUAUAUAUGCUUGCUGAGCUUUAUGAGCUCAUCUUUUCUUUUCAUGUACUGACUCUACAGGAAAGGAUUCCGGAGAAGGUUAUUCCGGAAAGGGUAAAAAUGUGGUGAGCUGAAGUGCUAGACUUGGUUGAAUUAGCAAUAAAACUUUAGCAGAAGUAUAUGUAAUCGGAAGAAGUGUUUUAAUAUGUAUUUUGUAUAGACCUGAACUAUUAGAGGCGUAUGGUGUGAGACUGUUGAUGUAAGGUUAAAUGUACUUUUAAGUUAUGCUGAAAUGAUAAGUUGAGAUUAUGAAGAUAUAUUUUGGUUUGUUUGGUAGAAUGACAUCCCCGGGUCGGGUUGCUGAGGUCAUCCCAGGCUGGGGGUGCCACAACAGCCUUGAAUUAUAUUCUGAGAGCAUCUCCAAUGCUGUUCAUAAACAAUUUCUUAAACAAUAAUAUCAAAUAUGGCACCUACUUAUUUAGUAAAUUAAAUAACGUGUGAGAUCCAAUGAUACUAUGCAUAGUUGAUCUUAACUCAUAGUUUAUUAUUAUUUGGAAUAAAAGUUGGAAAACAAAGUGAUAAAAAUAAAGGUUAGUGAUUAUUUUAUAUAAUGAAAAUAAGUUAGGAUCACCUAUAUGCUCUUUAAAUGAGUGGAGAGAGAGAACGCUCGUAAAUUAUUAAAAAAUUUAGAAGAGCUCCUAGGAUCUUGUUGGAGCUCAAAUCUCUCAUUUCCUCUUAAAUUUUUAAAUUUAGAGCUUUUCUGAGGAGCCCGUUGGAAUUUUUCUUAACUAACUAAAAGACUACGCCAUGUUUUUUGACAGUUAUCGUUCCGCCCAUAUAAAAAAUCAGUUUUUGCUAUUUUCCCUAUGUGUCUGUACAUGCUUGAUUUUAAAAUACAAAGAGAUUACAUAAUUGGUUUGCCUCGCUUUAAUUUUACACACAUGAAAUCAUGUAAACUGCUAAAGUGUAAGCGUUAAAUUAGAAACUCAAGGAAACCAAAUGCAUAGUCUAUUCAAAUAAUAACUUCCAAGUACAGACCACAAAUGCAGCUUCACAAACUCAAAAUAACUGCAUACAAUUCAUAAAAACAAACAAUUUUAAAUCUUGUCUUGAACAUAGGGUGCCUAGCUUAUGACAUCAACACAGUCUUAUUCUUGUUCUUCUUUGUAACAUCAGGGGUAUAGAAGUUGAGAUCUUCAAGCCCAUCCAGGUGGAUAGAACUGGAACUCACCUACGUUACAAAUUAUAAAGAAAUCAGUACAGUCCUCUCACAUUAGUAAAUCGUUAACAACAUGAAACAAAUAAAUACUUUUAUUACCUCUUGUACGUUCAUGCUUCGCUGAGAACCAAUGCUUGUGCUACCACCGCUCAGAACAUACAUGUCAGUGACAUAGUAGAAACUGCCCGGGCGUUCAAUGUUAUGGGAACCGAUCCUCACUUUUGCAUUAUACCAUUUACUUUCAAGAGUACGCAAAAUUGGCGGAACUUUCUCAUUUGUGCAACCCUAUAUCCAAAGAAAUAUAUAUUUUAUUAUAUUGAAGAGUCAAAAAAUUUAAUAAGCUGCCAUACAAACAACACCAAUAUACCUCUUCCACGAGCUCAUUCACAGUUAUUCCUAGCAGCGUUCGUAUAGUUCGAUCAUCUAUAGAUAUUUCAAUUGAAUCUUUUCCAUCAAUGGCUUCCGCCAUUAUGUGAAAUCUGAAAAGGGAUAUAAUUUAACGUGUCUAUAAUAUCCAAAAGGAGAAAAUUAACCAUGUAGGUCCUAGGCUAAUUUUACUUUUUUUCGGCGAAAGGGAGUUCGCGGUUGCAUAUUAUACAUCUGUAUUCACCAUCCACAAUCUCAAUCUCUCUGUAACAUGCACUGCAUUCACCUUUGAACCAUUCCAUUUCUACAACCAAAAUCAGCUUCAACUCACAAAUAACUUCCACCUGAAGAGCAACACGAAGAAGGCGUUCAUUUUUUAAGUGGAUAUUGUUAUAUGUAUGCAACUAUAAUACCAUAAGCACAUACAUUUAGGUACUCCACACCGAGUGUCUUGAUCGACGCAAUGUCGUGCUGCUCAAACGUUUGAGACAUCUGGGAAGAGAAAUCAUACUUUGAAAAUAAGGGAGUACCUAACCUGCAGGAUAUAAUCCUCUGUCACAACUUCCUAAGAGGUAAAGAUCAUAUGAACUUCAAGGGUAAAUAAUAACACUUACAUUUGUCUUAGAUUUAAAACAGAGUGGUGAUUGUAGUUGAGAUAGAAUGUUGUUGCAGUCACAUUUGCAAUGUCUACUUGCUCUGAAAAAAUUAUUAAUUAGUAAAGAGUUCCUACAGAAAGGUGUGUCUAACAUGAUUUAUUAAGAUUUUGUACUCUGCCAAGACGUUAUCUUUGCGCUUGCAACAAUAAGAAUGGCUGGGAACUCUGAAACAGUGGCUAGAGCAUGAUUAAAUUCUUCAGCCAAUGCGUCCCACAAUGUAACACAGUGAGAGCACCUGAAUCAUAGCUUUCUGUAAGUGACCUACUAAAAUCCUAUUGUAAAUUAUACAAAAAAUUAUAAAUGAUACCUCCCAUCGGUUAUAUCAACUUUUAUCUGAGAUUGGGCAACUCUGAGCUUAUUUACAAAUCUUCUUAUCGGCAAAUCCUUAAAUAUUACUCCUGUGACAUCUGAAAAACCGAAAUAUCAAAAAAUUUGUUGCAAUAUUAACACCUUCCAAAACAUGUUGUAUGUAAGGAUGGAUUAAUAAUAACCUGUUAGGUAUGUGUUAUCACCCGCGAUAUCGAUCAAAUCCCCAAGGUCAGUAAAAUCAAAUAUAUCGCGCGGAAUCAUCACAUCAUCAUCAGCAACAACUUCUACCUCUGUGAAAUUGGUGAAAUAUAUCUGCUUCUCACAGCAUACGGCUCUAAACUUCUCAUCAGGUUUGUAAUCUUUCACAGUGAAGUUAGAUAGCACAUGUACAUUACCAACAAUUAUCUUAGUCUCAUAUUUUUGAGAUACUAAUGCAGGAACAAAUCCAGGUAGUCUACAGCUCUAGCAACCAAAAUGAAAGUCAUAUUAGACAGAUAACUAUCACUCCAGUAUAAUUAUUUAAACUCAUAGCGAUCAUUACCUUGCUAUCCACUAACAAUAUGUUGAAGCCCUUAAACUCCUUCCCAUUAGAAGACGACACUCCACGCCACUUUCGCAAUACACGUACUCUAACCGUCCAGUCAAAGCUACCUGAGGAUACCUCUUCCAAAUAAUUGAAAUCCAUUACGUUGCACAAAGGACCGAAGUUACCACAAUGGUCUGUGAGAAAGAGAGGGUGUGAUUGCAAACAAACUCGGUAUGGGUAGUGAAUGGGAAGGUGAAAAGUCCUAUUUAUAGAGGCGUUAAAUAGUGUGAAAGAGCAGUGGAAUAUAUGUUUGGCUGCUCAAAAUUUGACGUCAGAAAUGAUACAUUUUUCAUUAAAGAAAAUACCUUACGUUGGCCAUGGCAUCCUGGUUGGUUGUACAGUUACAAUUUCGCAAUAUAUGAGCAUGUCAAGUAAUAUGAUUCAAUUAGAAAACAAUGAUAUACAAAUUCUGAAUAUUACAAAAACCACAACAUCUUCAUAAAAGUAGAGAAAAUAAAGCAAAUUACAUUGUUUUACACACGAAAUCAUUGAGACAAAACCAUAAACUGUUCUUACUGAAUAUUUAUCAAAAACAUAACAUAAAAGUAUCUAAUUGUUCACUUUUACAUUCAGUAGACAGCGUCAAAAUCUCUUACCUAAUACAUAAACAUGGUUCUCCUCCACCCUACUUCUUGCACUUCUUUGACUUACCUUCGGAUAUUAAUUCAAUGAGGACAAAAUCAUCAUCACCAUCUGUAACUGUUGAGGUAUUCACUUUGACAUUCUUCCGAAUCUUGUCUUUUGAGACGGACUCAAGAGAUUUAACAGGUGACUCUUCUUCAUUGCCCUCCUCCAUUUCAGUAACCUAACAUAAAUAAUUUUUGGGUCAUAAAACAUGUGGAAUAAAGAUGCGUUUCUAACUUGCACAAUAAUAUAUUCUUUAACACUUACAGUGUCCCCGCGGUUAUCAUCGGUCUCUCCAGAUGGCUCUAUGUUUGAGAUUGUAGCAGAACUUAUUCCACUUAGCUCAGCAAUAUCGACACUCUCAUAUACCUCGGAUUUCUUUAUAACAUUCUUCAGAUUUAUCUUAAGAGUUAUGGAAUGAACUUUCCCAGCAAAUUGUUUAAAUACGGCCGGGAAGUCACUGUCCUUGCUUUCCUAGUAUUAAGAUAGUAUUAUAAGCCAUUAUUAACAAUUAUAAAGUGGCGAACAUAUCAUAAGUACUCAUAGUAGAAUUAGUAACCUUUGCAUGGUCUAGAUCAACUUCAAAUACAUUCUUCUUAAUCAGCUUACGGACUUCAGAAUCACCCAAUGCAAUAAAUAUCACACCACUCUCGUCUGAACAUAUAACGCUGAUUCGAAACCUAUUAAACCAAAAUCCAAAUUCAUUUGUAUAGCGUUUAUUAAGAAUAAUAUUUUUCACAAUAUUAAAGGGUCAUACCUACGCUCUGGGUAUGGAAUAUAACGCUUAUACUUGGUACACUUGAAUCUCCCAUCUAUAGCAACCAAUUCCUCAGAACACUUUGGGCAUACGUGAUAGAACCAUUGCACCUCUUCAACCUUUUCAACUUUUACAGAACAACAGACUCUCCUCUGUAGCAGUAAUAACAUUUGCUAUUAAAAGAUGACAGUCAUAAUCAUAAUUCAACUCAGUUUGAAACGCAAGACAUUACUAACCUCAUUGAACUCCUCUUUGAGAUCCUUAAUGCAUGCAACAGACAGAAGUACAUCUCUAGGUUCGUCUUUCUUAACUACGACUUUCUGACGGAAUGUGGGCUUUAAUGACCUGCUCAUCAUGUACACAUUGUUGAUAAUUUACUUAAUCAGGCGUCUACAAAGACAUUGUACCACUCAAAUAAGAGAAAUUCAUCUGAAUUACUUUUCAACUAAUACACUCACCAAAGUUUCAUCAUCCUCACACUAUGAUGAUCAACAUUUAUAAAAAAACGGGUAGCAGGAUAGUUGCUGAUAUUCAGUUCACCUAAACACGGAAAAUUGAAUAUAUCGUCAUCAGCAAAAAAAUUUAUUCGAAAAUUUCUAAUGUAUAAGAUAGGGAGAACCUAGGUAGUGACCAAUUUUCCCACAUCCUAUAAUAACAAUAGUUAUUUCGUCAGCUUGCUUCUCUAGUGCUUUGUCAAAUUUAAGAGCAAACUCAUCAAAAAAGGUUAUUCUACGGGUGCACAUGUUAGCGACACAAUAAAACUGUUAACAUCUAAAAUCACAAAAAUGAUACCAUUCGCUCAAAAUCAUUGUUUAUAUUUAACGGAUUACUACCUGCCAUCUGUAAUAGAACAUUUUAGUUGCAUCUUUUCUUCUUUAGACUCACUCAUGUAUUUUAAAAGUGGUUCACGAUCACCCAGGACACCUAUAACAUCUAUAUCAUAAAACAGAAUGUUCACACCUCAGGUAAAAUAUUUAAUAGUUAAAGUUUCAAUUCAAAUAAUAUAGACGAAUACGUAGGACAUUUACCAAAAAGGAACCGUUUCUCAUCAUUUGUACUACCAAGGGACGACAGAUCGUAAAAAUCGAAGUUAUAGUUCGGAAUACGCGGAACAGAAACAGUGAUCUUUUGCAUGCUUGUGUAGUCAGAAAAGUAAAUGUGAAGAUCGGUCCUAACACAGCGAUGACUCUCAUAGCCAGUGUACCUAUGAACUGAAAAACUGCAAAUGUGGUACAUUUGACCUUCUUCAAGAGAAGGCUCAAAUAUAGAAGAAAUACGGGCGCCGAUAAAUGCAUGGAUCCGUGAGUUCUACAUAACCAAAAUAAUAAUACUAUGUUAUCUAACAUGUAGGAUAUAUUAGUUAAAUAUAAUCGUGUAAAUGUUCUUUACACUGUCAUCAAUGAAGAGAAUAUUCAACCCACGGAACUCUUUAGUGUCCCUUGUUAUUCCUUUCCACACAGCCUGAGCACGAACUUUGAUUUCCCACUUAAUCUUAGAUGGAUCCAACUUGUUCACAGGAGUAGAUGUAGUAAAUGCCAUGCUUUUAAUGAAGGUCCAGACUGUUAGUAACAACGAACAUGAACCAAAACAACCAUUAGAAGGUAGAGGUGUAAGAAAACACAACUAAAAAGAUAAUAAAUACCUGAGCAAUGAAAGUGAUUUCUGAAAAGAGGAGGGGAAUACAGGUAGAAGAGAACUUAAUGCUGCAGGAACAUAUAUAACUGAGGACAGCAGUAAAGCGGGAAAAUAUUAAAGCGGGAAUAAUAAUAAGCUCGUAGUACCGGUCCAAUGAAAAAAACACUUUUAAAUGUUAACAUUAAGACCUGUAAUGAUCACGAAGUGGAAAACUCCAAGUAUAUUAAUUGCAUACUUAUGAGAGCUUGACUCCUGACGCUACGUACUGUCGACGGCUUGAUCACACAGAAGAUUCGGGAGAGAAGAGUGUUUAUAUCGUGCAUGUAGAGUGCUGCGCAUUAAGUCAUUUCACAUUUGUAAUCACUCUGGUAAAAGCAUUUUAUGUGCAAAGUAUACGUUAAAUUUGGUAUUGUCCUUUUUCCUAUGUGCCAAAAAUUUACCCAUCGACCGAUCUGAGCUUCAUGAGAAAUGAAUGUAAAAUUACUGCGAUACCAAGAAUUAUACUCCCUCUAUUUCAAAAUACAUUUCCACUUUAUAAAAAAAAUAUUUGUUUCAAAAUACUUGUCAACUUCAACUUUCAAUGUAAAGUUAUAUUUCCAAAAUCAACUUUUCUUCCCAUAUUACUAAUUUAUAUUUCCAAGCUUAACCAUACACCACAUAUUAUGUUCAAUUAAUGACUUAACACACCCCUUUUCUCUCACAAUCCACUUUUUUUAAACUAUGUGAUUUUUUUAAAGUGGACAUGUAAUUUGAAACGGAGGGAGUAUUUAUUAAAAUCUAAUAAAAAAGAAAAAAUAUUUGACAAAUAUAGUUGACACUGGUAAUAUUUUUUGUGGCUGUCAGUCACAAUAUAUUUGAAUAUAUUACUCAUUGACUAAAGUUUAAUUUUAAUUAUGUGCUUGCGAACCAAAUAAUUCGUGGGGACUUAUUACCAUGUAUUCAGAUUUCGUCUUACUAACUUGAAAACUUGAAUCCCAAGGUAAGAUAAAAUUUCAGUUUCUUCUAUUGUACGGUGUGAACUGCAUGACAGGGUUUACUUACAGAGCUAGGUUGAAUUUAUAGAGCAGAAAUUAGGUGACACAGUGGAUGAAACUCGACUUACAUGUCAUUAAUUAAUUUCUCCACUCAAAGCAGUAGCAAAAAUAAUUGCUCUACAAUGAGGAUGACGUAGUUAUGAUAUUAUUAUAACAGGAUUCUGAACUGUGACUCUAACCAUAGCAGACUCAUCAAUAAUAUCACGUCUUUCUGUAGCUAAAAACUACAACCAUUGUUAUGUAGGGUGUACUAAUUAAGAUUUAGAAGAUCAACAACAUCAAAGGUCAAGCAUUUACUACAACAUCAUGUCGGUGUCUUACUCCCUCUGCAAACACAACUUUUCAAGCAUCGGUUAAUAGUUUUCACACAGGUUUCAGAUAAAUUUUAACCCACUCACUAAACUUCUACGAAAGUAAGACUUACUUCCUUUCUAUAGUAAUUACUUUAUUUUCCCAUGCACACAACAUGAACGCGUAAGAGGCGUGAACCAAAAAGAACAUAUCACAUUCCAAAACAUAUAUUUCUCAAAACAACUACAUAUAUAAAGAUACCAUUACUGUCAUUGUACAGAAAGGGAAACACGACUUGGCCAUCAAAACCAUAUUCCAUAAUACAAAAUCACAAUAUCAUACCCAUUACAUUACUUCACUGGUAUAUUGUAGAAAACCUCCUUAAACACUACGUUGUCCGUCACACGUGUGCUGUUCCCAUUCCUGUCAUCAAUGAAUAUUUUAAGACCACGACGACUGGUAACUCGACUUACAGCAACAUAAAGUUGGCCAUGCGUGAACACUGGCUCAGGCAAGUACAAACCAACAUGCUCUAAAGACUGUCCUUGUGCUUUGUUGAUUGUAAUAACAUAACAAAUUUGUAGAGGCAUUUGUUUACGUAUAAGCUUGAAUGGAAGGCGAGAAUCAGAAGGACAACAGUUAAUUCUGGGGAUAUAGUGCUUUGUCCCAAUGUAUGAACCGGAUAUCACCUCGCAUUCAACACAAUGCUUAAGACAUUUAGUAAUAAUCAACCGAGUCCCGUUGCAUAAACCAAGAGUUUGGUUUAAAUUGCGCAUCAACAUUACAAUGACACCCUCUUUAAGCUUCAAUUCAUGAAGAGGUAAUCCAGGAGUAUGGAGAGAGUUUAAAUAUUCAGCUGGAAAACUCAAACUUAAAUCAGAAUCGGUGCCAGCAAACUCUUCGGCAGAAUCAAAGCUGAAAUAAGAAGUGGAAUCCCCGGGAACUUUGUCAACAAUAAGAGAGUUCAAAUAUGUCACGGUCUCAUUCAUUGGAGUGAGAAUGGCGCGUUCUCUAAUAUAGGUUGGAUCUUUGAAUUUACUGGCAAAUUCCGGAUAAAUGGCAGAAAACAUUUUGUCUAGAGAAUUGGAGCCAUUGACAUCACAUAAAUCAGCAAGAAGCACGACCUCAUAUUCAUUUUUAGGGUCUAAGGUGUCUCCAGGAGAAACAUAACAACCAUCACCCACCGAGAGUACCCACUCCGCAAACUCUUUCAUUUCUUCCCUUUCAAGUUCAGAAAUUGGAUUGUUUAGACGCAUGUUCUGAUCUAGAGUAAAUAUCGUGCAUAAAGACCAAAUCCUUGACCUGGUUAUAGAUGCGGAAACAAUGUCAGCACGGGAACCAAGGGGUAUCACAGGUAAUAUCUGCCGGAAAUCACCACCAAAUAUAACAAUAAUCCCUCCAAAUGGCAGAUGGAAAUACUUCAUAUCAACACCUUUCAUAAUGUCACACAAGGUACGGUCCAAACACUCAAACGAAUAACGAUGUUGCAUCGGAGCCUCGUCCCAUAUUAUAAGCUUUGUUUCCUUUAUGAGUUCGGCAAUAUCAGAAUCAUGUGCAAUGUUGCAAAUUGAGUAGUCGUCGAGAAUUAUGGGAAUCUUAAACCUAGAAUGAGCUGUUCGACCACCAGGAAGCAACGUGGCAGCUAUUCCAGAAGAAGCCACAGGCAACACAAUAUCCCCUUGAGAUCUCAACUUAGAUAUCAAUGUCCGCCAAAGAAAUGUCUUUCCGCAGCCACCGCUACCAUAGACGAAAAAUAUCUUCCCUUCUUUUUGUUCAACCGACUGCAUGACAGCAUUUUAAAUAGUUUUUUGCUGCUCAUUGCACGAAGCUAGAAGCUUUAUAAAUUCCGCAUGCAUUGCAACCCUAUCAUAACUUCUUUCGUCUAAAACCAGAUUAUUCUUCUCACAAUUAAUAAAAUGGGAAGGAGGCUGCGGCAUAGAUGGAAAAUCUUUAAGAGACUUUCCCAGAGACUUCAAAAUCUGAUUUAUGUCUGCAUGGAAAUUAUAGUUUUAAAUAAUGCUUAAACAAUUUACGUUCUAAAUAAAUCAACGAAAUAACAAAAGCCCAUACCAGCAAGCGCAUAGUUAAUAACAUCUUCUUCAGACAACACCAGUUCAUGCUGCCCUGAAUUUUUUCUCCUUUGCAUGAGAAUGUCAUCAGUCAUGUAUUGAUGAUUGGAAGCCCAAAGAUGGUUCACAUCAGAGACCUGACAGUUAACAAUGACAUGAACAAAGAGCUGACGUAUUUGAGGAGGAAAACCACCUUUAGCAGCUUCUUUGAGAAGCUCAUGCCACUCGUCGUCAUCAUUAAGAUAUCCAAGUUCUCUACAUGCCUCUUGAAACGUAGGGUAUACAACGCCAUUCACAAUUCUCAAGCACUUAAAUGAUUUCGGACCUUUCACACGAGACAGCAAUAAACGCAAAUACCAAACUUCACAAGCACUGUGAGGUGUAUAAGUGAGACGACCAAUCUGAUAUCCUUUCUUCCUAACAGUCCAAGCAUGAUCAGAGACGUUCCACACAUAAUGCAUAGGAAUUUGAUCGUACGUAUAUUGAUUAGCAGUACAAUCAGUGGAGUUGAGGAAGAAGAACGCCUCUAACUGACUGUGUCGAUUUUUUUCCCGUCCAGCAACCUUCUUCAACGAAUCAGAUGGUUUAAAUACACAAUUCUUUUCACCAGGAAGGUGAAAAGAUAAUCGUACCACAGAUAUUGAUCUAUGAUGUAUAUCAAAACCAAAUGUCCGGAAAGAAGCCUCAGACCCACAAAUAUAUCUGCCAUCAAAAUAACUCUGGAUUUCAUCUACUACCUCAGGAUCAAAAGAUGCUAUCUUUUUCUUCCGCCCACUGAUCUGCACAGUGGCAUUGUCACUUCCUUUCAAACAGUACUUGAAUAAGUACUUUACACUGCGUGCGUGACAACAUAUCUCGAUAUUUAUGUGACAUUGGUAUUUCACCAAUAAGUCCCGGUUAUAAGGCACAACCCAUUGAUUAUCUAAAGUGGCUUUCCGGACAUCAACUGUAAUCCCAGUAUUCCUCCUCUGGUAAAUAGGAAAACCUGAAUCAUCAAAGUUGGUCUUUGGACAGUACCUGAAUAGUAUGCAAAAUGUUAAAACAUUAAUUUAUUUAUGCACUUUAUAUAGAAAGUAAAGCUGGCACCAACAGAACAUACUUCUUAGGAAAAUGACGUGAGCACUUGAAAUUUUUCAUACACGGCGACUUGGGAAACUCACGCCCACAAGGUCCAUGCAUCAUAAACUCUUUGACUGCUUCGUACCCAUCUAGAUCAGUUUUGGGAUCAGGUAUCUCAGCAGACACAAAUUUGUCAACGUUAGACUUCAAUUUCAACUUCGAAUCAGCAUCGAGCCAAAUCAACAUAUGCACGUGAGGAAGCCCACGCUUCUGGAAUUCCACUACAUACAUCACUAAUAACAACAAUUUAUCAGUUCUACAUUUAAUACAAUAAACUCUUAUCAACAUAUUUAUCUGCCAUACAAAAUAAUUUACAUUUCGAAUACCUGCAACACAUUCGCCGAAGAACUUGUUCUUGCGAAUAUCAUCCAACAGUUGAGAGAGUUUCAAUUUAAACACCCGAGCAAUUAUAUCUGGAUUAUCCACAGGGGUUCCAAAGGGUAUAAUCUUCAUCAUCUCAAGAAUUUUGGGCCACAUUGGAUUGGUUGUCAUGGUAAGGAAUAUAUCAGGAUGCCCAAUAUGUCUACACGUGGCCAGGGCAUCUUGAAAGUUCUGUUGCAUGUACCUCUUCGAACCUACAUAUCCAGCAGGCAGAAUGAAACUCUUUCCAAUUGAAGAUGCAUCAGUGUCACCGGCCCUGAUAGAAUCGCAUAUGUGACUAUAUAACUCAUUCCCCAGAGUAGUCUGAUGAGUUUUAAACCACCAAAGUCGAGCUUGCUCAAUAAUAGAAAAAGAAUCAACAACGUAUUGCUGGAACAAACGACCGCCCAACCGAGGUGUCAUUCCUGCAUGAUACCAAGAAAUUGUCAAAACCUAUUUAUACCUACAGAAUAAUACAAUUAAUGUUGUAUUAAUCAAAACCUAUUUAUACCUACAGAAUAAUACAAUUACUGUUGUGUUAAUCAUACCCUCAUUUAAACGAAUUUGCAGGCGAUAACGGUAGUAAUCCAUGAGCGUCAACUUAGUCCAGGUCUGGGACUUGGAACCAGGCGUUUUCUCAUAAUACAAUUCCGUGUGAUAACCAUCCUCUCCAGCAGGGAACAAAAUAGUAUAUUGUAGCGCCAUAAGUUUAGGAUUGAUGUUGGUAAUUCUUUGUAGUCCACCAAACUUACUAUCUACUACAAAAUCUCGAUUCUCCUCGGUAUCUUCCUCAUUACCAACCAUUAUUCCAGCUACUUCAUUUGAUGGACCCAUAUUAUUCUCACGACCACUGGCAGACCGACAUAGUUUGAGAAACAUGUGCAUGUCCACAAUCUCACUGUCAUCAUAACGUUCACGAGCAGUACGAAACUCUCGAACCAAACAGUUUGUCUCAUCCAACAUAGAAACUAAGCCAGCAACAAUUUCCUCAGAUAUCUUAUUCGAUUCACCAACAUCAACCCAUCUCAGACGGUUGGAAACCUCAUUAACAGUAUCAUACAUGUAUAACUGACAAAAUUUAGGAGGUUGCCCAUCAUUAGGCACCAACGAACCAAACAAAUGGUGGUUUUGACCAUUUAAACGAUAAAUAUAAGGUGAUCCACCAUUAUUGAUUGAAUUGUCGACAUAACCACCCGUCGAAGUAAAAGCAAACAUACUGUUAUAAACUCUUGAACACUGUUGAAACAUAGGGCCUUUCUUCGGGUCAUUGUAAAGCUGCCAAAGGUAAGAUGGGGUCCUAGGAGCAGGUGGGAGUUUAAUCUUCCCAUCUCCACAACACAAACUAAACUUUGGAAUCCCAUGAAUGUUGUCCUUAUUGGAUCGCUCCUCCUUCCACAUAACAGCUUGACAUUUUUGACACCGCACUGUUGGGGCUCCAAGUGAGGCAUACGGCUUAGGAACUGACAUUGCCAAACACAGACAAUCAAUAUCUAUUCACAUGUAACAACUCUAAUCUAUAAAUUUAAUAUCUACAACAGACACACCUUUGGCAAAAUUCUUAUCAUACCGAGAUUUAAGAUUCUCACAGUGCUCCCAAUAUUCAUCAACAUCGUCAUCCGCAAUCAUUUUAAACAGCGCCGGGUUAGAAUAUAUUGGACAAAUCUAUACAUGUGAAUAUCAGCUACAAACCAUCAUCACUGAACAUUGUGUCAUCAACAUAGUCAUGCCCAACAAUCCUUGAAUUCUCUGCAAGACGUAUAUAUGUCAUUGUAUCAUGCAUAGUAAAAACAAAGGUUUAACUCAUACACUGAAAAAUUAAUGUUUGUUCUCUCACCAACGUCUUCAUAACAAUCUGUACCAACUACAUCCCUAUCGGGCAUUUCAAAACCAAACGCUAGCUUCUUGUUAACUUCAUCAACAACAAAUGUCUGUUUCCUUUUCAAUCUACUCUUCCCAGGAUUACCUACGCAAGUAAUUUAUGCACAUCAAUAUUUGUAAACAUUAAGAUGAGAUAGAGGAUACAUAUCUAUUUAAUAAAUCACCUUUUACUGCGGGUGUUCUACUCGAUAUUUUCUGUUGUGAAACACUAAAGCAAGCAUUAGAAGAACCACCUUGACUCGCACUCCCCGCAGGGGGGGUCCAACGUCGACCAGAUUGCUCUUCAGAAACUGGGUGAAACCAUUAAACAUUUAACAACUCAUUAUUAACAUGUGUCCUAACAGACAAAUAAUUUAUGACUCAUGGCAGCUCACAGUUCUCAUCGAACAAUAGAAGACCGGGCUGUCCAGGCAACUUCUGAGGAGCGAAUGUCGUUGCUUUCUAUAGGAAUACACAAUUUCAUAAGUGAAAAGCAAUAAAUCGGAAACAAUGAACAGCUGAGAGGUAGAAUAACUGGAAUUAGUUUAUUUACCUGCCUACCACCAAAUAAAGGCUUAUUAGAAACAUCUGCUAGAGGAGUUCUACACGGCGUACUGGCGGAGCACUACCACAGGCGGCAGCAAGUCCGGUCCGGUCGACUUUUAGUGCCUUGACAGGGGUACCUACAUGGUACAGCGUGAUGAAAACUAUCAGCAAAUAUUUCUACAACCAUCUAUAAACACAGACAUAAACUCCAGGAAAUGACUGCAAUCUAUUAACACAAAACAAAACUAUUAAAAGAAAACAGGUGAUCCAGUACUCACCGGACAAAACAGGCGAUUCGAAAAUAAAUUUAUCAUUCUUCCAACCAUGAUACAACCCAUCAUCGCCCGGAGUCUCCGAAGUCUGCGCAGCGGAGAUAACAUACUUAAGCAACACACAAACAAAUAAACAGACAUUUUAUUGUAAUAAAGCAAAAAAUAGACGCAGAUGAGAAUAUACCCGCUCCAUGACAAACUCCGAUCGCCGGAGAAGCAACUAAAAUAAGACGAAAGAACCUCGAUCGCCGAUGGAAGCAAGAUACUGGAGAAAGAGAAUACGCAAGCUUGGAGGAAAAAGUGAAAUUUCUAAGAUUUGAAUUCAAAGCAAAAGUUGAAAAAGGUAGUGACCGGGUGCAUAAGUCAUCAGGUCAUUUUGAACAGUAAAAAACCGGUAGUGGCAGCGCAUGUAAUUGGAAGGCUGGUGAGGGGCAAGUGCAGUAAAAAGCCACUCUUUCUCCUAUCAGCACUUAUCUAUUUAUAGAUUUAUAAAUUUUUUUGAAUAACAAGUAUAAUGUUUAAAAUUUUAUACAUGAAAAGAAAAUUAAAAAAACAAUUAUGAAAUUAUAUUUUAUAGGAUUCUUAAAAUACAUGUGAAGUAGUGAGAAAAACUGUAAAUAAAUGAGAGGAGCGGAGAAAUUAUAUUUUAUUCUAGAUUAGUAUUUUUAUAUUAAAAUUAUAAUAUUAUUAAAUAUUAUAAAUCUAAUAUACGUCUAAUUUGCUUGACAUGAAUACUUUUAUGGUUUGUUUGGGAACUUAAAUUUCAUUUAAGAUUCUGUAUUUGAUUAAAUGACAUGUUUGGAUACACUGCAAAAUUUAAAUUUAGAUUUUUUUUCAAACUUAAUAUAUACUAGCCUUAAACCGAAAAAAGGCCCUCAAUAACCAUAUUUUUAGUGUUAAUGUCCAUAAUAACAGAAUUUGAUAAAAUGGCCCAUAAUAACCAUUAGAGACGCANUAGCGUUUUUCAUAUAAGACCAAGUCGCUACGUCGUGUAGCGUUUUACUCUUUUUUAAUAAAGACGAAAACGCUACACGCAGUAGCGUCUUCCCUUUAUAUAUAUACUCCACUUUAACCUCAACGGCUAACCAUCGAGUGUAUACACUCCAGUUUAAAUAGAGGUGAAGCAGCUGAUAUAUACGAUCGAGUGAAGCGAGAUUAUUCAACGAGUUGAAGAGACUACCCAUGGAUUUCAAUGUAUGUUCUUUAAUCUUUGGGCGAUUUUAAUGUCAUAGCUGUUUUAAUCUUCACUGUUUUGAUAUGCUUGCUAUGUGUUUGAUUAAAUUCCUGUGUUAAACUGGAGUGUUAGUUACUCUGACUUUCAGCUCACAUAACCUAGAUUAAUUGUUUAUGGAUGUGUAUUUUUAAGGUUUCAUAUGAUUGCCAGUUCCAUUUCUCUGGUUUCAAACUUAAAUCCUAGAGACAGGAACAUGAGCUUAUAUGAAAUAGGAGUAGCCCAUUCGGGCGAAUCAGAAGCCGAUGUAGCUUAUAUGAAAUAGCAGUAGCUGAUUUCAGAGUCAGUAGUCUUGUAGUGGGGAAGUAUCGUCAGUUAAAAAUGCGGGGAAGCAGCGUAUAUUCAAAAAAGCUUAUUGCAGAGUUGUAUAGACUGAGUUGCUCUUAGUUUAAUAGAAAUAUAACAUAACUAAUCCCAUUUUCAUACAAUAAACAUCACAAAAGAAUUACACAAUUCAUGAAUAGAUUUAAUUUAAUUCGAGAGAUUUUGUGUCAAUAACUGAGCCGUGGAGUCCCACGAAUACUGAGUCAGACAUCGGUUUGAUGCAAUCGAGGCUUAAGAAUUUAAAUAUAUAAAGUAUAUUGCUGGUUCACACACAGUAAGGCUUGAAAUUUUGAGCCGCGUAAAUAUGCUGUACAUUGGCAUCUCGUGUUUGCCAAGUAAACUAAAGGGUGUAUUCAAUAUUCAAGUAUAUGUACCAGUGGCUAUAUUUUCUCCCUAUUGAUUGCUCGGUUAGUAUAAAAUAUAUAGUUCGAGCUGCCAUUCUCGCAUUCUCUUUGUAAUAUGUUUUUAGCUAUUCUGAUACAAUUGGAAUGCAAUAUGGUUCAAGGCAAUCUCUAUUAUAUAUGAAAAUGCAUGUCCGCGCACACAUACAUUGCUUUUGUUAUUAGCAUGAUUAAUAUCGACAGGAUAUGACUAUCUCUUUAUUAUGUAGUAUUAUAUGUCUUUGGAUGGCUAAUUAAUUAUGAGAAUUGACAUUAGCAUAUUAAGACAUGAUUUAUCGGUGAAUUAUUACAUGCUAUUUUAUCAUAUUAUUGAUUAUUGGAUUUACAUGAUACUAUUAUAUACCAUUCUGCGGGAAUCGUAGUAUUUGUAUUGUGUUAAUUUAAUUAGUUUCUCUCUAAAGUUAGUAUGAUGUGUUGACUUUGUAUAUUUAUUCAUUUUGUUCACAGGCUAUUAUUAGAGACCAAGGACCUCGUGAUCCUAGCCUUCUUCACCUACAGGCCACUCAUAGGUCUCGUUCUAUCUGGAGAACUGGUGCUGCGCCUUUGCAGUAUUUCAGGCGUCGUGAUGCCAACCAAUCUGAUUUGAACAUUGAUGUUCGAUUGAUCCCCAUUCUGCAGGCAGCCGGUUUUUAUGGGGUAGCUCGGGUAUCCACUCUUCAGCUUGAUUGGAGUUUGCUUGGUGCUCUGGUAGAGAGAUGGCGACCAGAGACACAUUCAUUCCACCUGCCGAUGGGAGAGUGUACUAUUACACUGCAGGAUGUUGGUGUCUUGCUCGGGUUACCCAUUGACGGAGAGCCCGUUAUGUGUCCUGUAGGCCCUCCACCUGGACAGAGAUGGGAGACCAUCGUUGGUGAGAUAUUUGGACAGAUUCCUCCACCCGAGGCUUUCAAUAACUCGAGGCUACGGCUCACAUGGGUAGAGAAUCUCACUCCAGCGAGAUUACAUGAUGAUGCAGGCGUUGAGGAGAUCAGGCUUCACGCCAAGUGUUACUUGCUACAGUUGUUUGGGGGGUCACUGUUCACCGACCAUUCUGGUGGACUUAUACACUCCUCGUGGGUUCAUUUUGUUCGUGACCUGGAGGCGCUCGGAGGCUAUGCAUGGGGUCCAGCUGUUCUAGCUCGUCUAUACAGGGAGCUUUGCAAUGGUUGCAAAGCGAGUAUUAAGGAGGUAGCUGGAUGCCUUCUCUUACUGCAGCUAUGGGCAUGGGAGAGGUUGCCCACUCUUGCCCCUGUUCGGACCACUGUUCCAUUAGAGGAUGUUGCUUUUUGGGAGCAUCAGCUUCCAGGACCACAUGGAGCCAGGUACAUAGUAGCUGUGUUUUUACUGGUUUGUACAUUUCAAGUUGUGAAUUGUCUUUUUAAAUUGACUAAUGUGUUUUUUUGUAUUCCUAUGAUGUCUAUAGGUGGCUUGUUGGACAUUCAUUCGUUGAGAGUGAUGGAAGCACUGUGACUACGUCUCGGGCGGCAUUGGAUUCGCUUGCUCCAGAUGAGUUUAUUUGGGAGCCUUAUGAUGGGAUUCUUGAUACACUGCCAGACUAUUGUUUAGCCGGCCGUCCUCUCUGGCGCUUUCGCGGCCCCAUGAUAUGUGUUUACAUAGUCGAGCCACAUCAGCCGGACAGAGUUGCUAGACAGUUUGGCAUGAUACAGCGUAUUCCGGAUCAGCCACACUACUCCCACGAACAUCACGUUAUGACGCUGAGGGGCCAGAAGGUCUUGGAUUAUGCAGUCGUACAUCAGCCGAGUAUGACACACUGACAGCAUCGUCUGGAGCAUAUUUGGACUGAUGACCUGAUUGAUGGUCAUGCUACAGUCCCAGAGUACAUGGAUUGGUACUUGCCUCGGACUGUGAGGUUCAUUAGUCAGUUGGGUGCACUGCAUACCCACCUAGUAAGUAUUUUUUUACUAUUAUAUUUGCACUUUCUGUGAUAUGUAUCGUGUGUUUUCCUUAUCUGUAGCUGGGGUAUUAGUUGUAUUAGUCGUCAUGCUUUAUUUGAUGGGUUCUAGUAGUUGAUAUUGCAUUUGUAUUCGUUGUAUUUCAGGGAGUUGUGCUAGAGACUAUAGCAGCCAGGACAGCAGACGUCCUCCCGGAUAUGUCCCAACUAGCCACUCAGAGUCUGCACCAUCUCCGAGAUCGGAAUGCAUACAAGUUUGAUCCACGUCAAGUUGAGGAGCAGGAUGCUAGACAGGACGGGGGAGGGGAGGAUGUUGGUGAUAGAGGAGGCCGUGGUGGUGGAAGGAGAGGCCGUGGUGGUGGCAGGAGAGGCCGUGCUCGUGGCAGAGGAGGCCGUGCUCGUGGCAGUGGAGGCCGAGGCGGUGGACGAUUAGUUGAUGAGCCGGAUGAUGAUGCUGAUCAUGCUGAUGAACAGGAUCAUUUAGGUACAGGCGAGGAUCGAGGACCAGAGUCUUCUACUGCUACUGUUGGUGAUGCUUCUGCUGCUGCUGCUGCCACAGCUACUGCUACUGUAGCCGAGGCUUCUACUCCCCCUACUGCCACAACUACUACUACUGGUGCUGGUGACUGGUGGCCUAGUUUUUCUCUAGGCCUAAGCUUGCCUUCACAGCCAGUACUUGAGCAGUAGACUUCUCAGAUGCCAAAUACCAGUACAGAGCAGCCUCCUCCUGUUGUGCAGCGUCAGCACAGGAUUCGGCCUUGGCAUGGUACACCAGAGGUACCCCCUUUGUGGUGCCGGGAGAGGCCGUGCUCGUGGCAGAGGAGGCCGUGCUCGUGGCAAUGGAGGCCGAGGCGGUGGACGAUUAGUUGAUGAGCCGGAUGAUGAUGCUGAUCAUGCGGAUCAUAUAGGUACAGGCGAGGAUCGAGGCCCAGAGUCUUCUGCUACUGCUGCUACAGCUACUGUUGCUGAUGCUUCUGCUGCUGCUGCCACAGCUACUGCUACUGUAGCCGAGGCUUCUACUCGCCCUGCUGCUGCUGCCGCUGCAGCUACUACUACCGGUGCCGGUGACUGGUGGCCUAGUUUUUCUCUAGGCCUAAGUUUGCCUUCACAGCCAGUACCUGAGCAGCAGACUUCUCAGAUGCCAGAUACCAGUACAGAGCAGCCUCCUCCUGUUGUGCAGCGUCAGCACAGGAUUCGGCCUUGGCAUGGUACACCAGAGGUACCCCCUUUUGACUUGGGCAGCUCUUCACAGUCUACACAGUCUACGCAGCCUAGUCAGCCUGCUACGCAGCCUAGUCUACCCCCUUUUGACGUCUUUUAUGUUCGCCGGUCAAAGAGGGAUAGGAAGGCUCCUGAUUGUGGUACUGGUUCACAUAGGGGAUGAUGAUAUUUGUAGGUUUUUGAUGACAUUUCUAGUUAUAGGAUGCUGAACUUGUGAUUUAUGAUAGCAUGGAUCUUGUAAAUAUUUUAAUUUCAUGUCUUAAGUUUCCAUUUUAGUACAGCGUUAUUGUUUUAAUAAUUAAAUUGGCCGACGGUUAGGAUAUAGGAUUGAGGGUGUAGGGCCAGUAGGCCCUACUCCCUCAAGCCUAAACCCUAAUUAAGCGAGGCUGAAGGGCCGAAGGCCCUGAAGCCGAGACGUCGGCGGAAUAAAUAAAUUUACAACCGUUAACAUUUAGGGUUUAGAUUUGGGUUGCAGAAUGAUUAAUACGUUCUGUAUAUAAAAUUGGCCGACGGUUAGGGUUUAGGAUUGAGGGUGUAGGGCCGGUAGGCCCUACUCCCUCGAGCCUAAACCCUAAUUAAGCGAGGCUGAAGGGCCGAAGGCCCUGAAGCCGAGACGCGGGCGGAAUAAAUAAAAUUACAACCGUUAACAUUUAGGGUUUACAACCGUUAACAUUUAGGGUUUGAGUUGCAGAAUGAUAAUUUUAUACUUUAAUUUAAUUUAACUUAAAUUAAUGCAAGGCUUUAAUUCAAAUUUUCAUCAAAAAAGAUUUGGUAUUUUUGUUUUUAAGUAAAUGAAAACAAAUACAAAAUAGGUAAACAAAAUUCAAAUCGAGUGUUUUGGGUUUUAGAAUUAUUAAUUCAUUUUAAACCAUUCAUUUUUCAUUCAAACAAAUUAAAACAAAAUAGAAAAUUAGUGUUUACCUAUUUUGUAAACAAAUUAAAACAAAAAUACAAAAUUAAAAUUAAACCAAAAAUACAAAAUUAAAAUUUAAACAAAAUACAAAAUUAGUGUUUACCUAUUUUUAUUUCAAUAUACAUCAAAACAAAUCAUUUUUAAUUCAAACAAAUGCGUUUUAAAAUUAAAAGAAAUUUAAUAUGCCUAUUCAAAAUUAGUGUUUUAAAUAUUCCAAAAAAAUAAUUAAUAAGAUGUCCAGUAGCGUUUCAGUUAAAUAUAUAACAUAGACGCAAAAGCGUCUAGCGUUUUGGUUUUAAUAUACCUAAACGCUAGUUAUGAUAGCGUUUUUGAUUAACAUUAAUAUAUUAUAUUAGCUAGACGCUAAUGCGUCUAGCGUUUUGCUUUUUUUUUUUUUAUAUAUACUCCCAGACCCCAGUAUACACACUGCCAUACAAUUCCAAACACAUAUACACACUGCCAUACAUUGUUGUGCCCUAAUUCACCCAAAAUCUGCCCUACUUCAUACUUCAAACAUUCUAUAGAUACAAUCAUGGCUUCCGGUUCGGGUUCGGGUUGGGGUUUGAAAGCUGGGAAUACGGUUGUUGGAUGGAUAUACAAUGAUGGUAAUAUCAUCCAAUCUCAAUUAGAAGGUUUUGUUUAUGAUAAACCUGUUUCGAAGCAUGUUAAGCUAGAUUUGUCUAUGAAUUAUGCUAAUUUAUGUGCUUUGUUACAUUCCAAGUUGAAGAUUGAUAGUAGUAGUAGGUUGAGGCUAUUUCAUAGGUGUAAAAAUCCCGAUGAUUUGAAAUUCGGGAUUAUACCAAUUGAAGAUGAUGAUGAUGUAGAAUUAAUAUUUAGUGUUGUGGUGUCAAAAGGGAUGCCCUUUUUUGUUGAAAUUUAUGUAGAGAAAUUGUCUUGUGAUGGGAAUUUGUUAAGGAGUAGUUCGAGUGUGGGGGAGAAGAGUAGUGGGCGUGAUUCGGGUGGUAGUCGUUUUAGACAUGACCAUGAUGUGGUUGAUAGCUUCAUGUCGGUCGAUACUUCCCAUUUAGAGAGGAUGACCUCAUUCGACGAUGUCGAGGUUGCAUAGCUUCAUGUCGGUCGAUACUUCCCAUUUAGAGAGGAUGACCUCAUUCGACGAUGUCGAGGUUGCAAAUAAUGAGGUCCCGUUGGAGUUGAAGGAGGGGAGGUUAUUUAGCACGAAAGAGGAUUUGAUGCAUGUGGUGAAGCAAUACCACAUUCAGAAUCACUUAGAGAUUGGAGUGAUACGAUCAGAUCCGAGUAGUUGGUAUGUUGCGUGCAAGUAUAGAAAUGAUGGUUGCAUUUGGAAGUUGAAAGCUAGAAAGAGGAGUUCACAUGGUAAAUUUCAAAUCAUGGAGAGUGUAGGACCACAUAGUUGCUUGAGCACUACCAUCACACGAGACCAUCCCAACUUGACAUCCUCGGAGAUUGCUGGAGUGAUUAAAUCUCAAAUUGUUGCUGAUCCGACAAUUAAGGAGAAGGUGUUCCUAGCCACUGCUAAAAAUAAGUUUGGAUAUGAGCCGGGACGAAAGAAGAUUAGGAAUGCAAAGAGGAUAUUCAUGGCUCGUGGGAAGGAUCAUACGAGGACCUGCCACAUUUGAUGGAAGUUCUUCAGUCCUUCAAUGUGGGCACGAAGGUGGAUUGGUGCUUUAGGGAGGAUGAUGCAGAGCAACUAGAGGUAUAUUCUAUCACCGUGUAAUUUAAUUCAUUUUCAUUAAGUAUUUGGACGCCAUUAUUCAUUUUCAAAUGUAAUGUUUGUUAUUUAUUUGGAACAGGAAGUGACAUUUAGGAGAUUGUUCUGGGCUUUUAAGCCAUGCAUUGAUGGCUUCGAGUAUUGCAGACCCGUCAUACUGAUAGACGGGACUCAUUUGUAUGGACCAUAUCCGGGUGUUCUUCUGAGUGCAACAGCUGUAGAUGGGUUUAGUCACAUUCUACCAUUGGCGUUUGCUAUAGUGGAGUCGGAGAACAACUCUAGCUGGGAUUGGUUCAUGGAUAGGUUGAGGAGCUUGGUGGUUGGUCGGAGGCACGGGAUAUGUGUCAUUUCUGAUAAACAUUUAGGGAUCAUGGCAGCUAUGCAGAAGGAGGGAUGGUGUGAGCAAGGAUGGACUUCAUCGAGAGACAGUUGAUUCUGUAGUUGUUUUUAUUGUUAUAGUACUAUUGUUCAAGUACAAUUUGAUAUGGUUGUUUGAAUUUGGCGAAAAUUGUAUGAAUGAUUUAUGAUAUAAAUUAAAUUUUAUCUUGUUAUGAAUUAGUUUAUAUUGUCUAUGCGAUUUACAUUGAAUUGGUAGUUUAAAAGUUUUGGUUUUUAAGUUGUGGUGGGAAUUUUACGUUGAAUUGAAUUUUUUUGUGUGGUAGAAGGCAGUUAGGCAGAAGGCUUCUGCCUUGGCACAAGAAACAGGUUAAAACGCUACUCUAAGUAGCGUUUUAAAUAAGCCUCCAACAUAAACGCUUCUUCGUAUAGCGUUUAACUAGUUUUUAAAAAUUCUGUAAAAGAAAACGCUAAUGGAAAUAGCGUUUUCAAUAAACAAAACGUCAUUUAGUGUAGCGUUUUAGUUGUGCUAAAAAAAACUUAAUACAAAACUGAAUAAAAAUAAAGACACUACUACAAGUAGCGUUUUACCAUUUACAAAAAUUUAAAAAACUUAAACGCUAUUACGUGUAGCGUUUUUGAGUUUUAAAAAAAAUAUUUAAGCAAGACGCUACACGAUGUAGCGUUUUUGUUGUUUUAACAAAAACGCUACUUCAGUAGCGUCUCUACUGGUUAGUGAGGGCCACGUUUCGGGUAUUUGGGUAUUUGAGGCAUUUUCAACCGUGCAAAGCACGGGCGGCUAUAUAAUUUUAAACUAAUUAUUAAUUAUUAUAUAAUAUCAAUAUAUAUUAAGAGAAAAAAAAUUAGAUAAAUCUGACAGUGCUUAUUCAAGGUGAAAGGGUGAAGUCCGACUAGCAGUGCACGUAACUCAUUUUUGUGGACGCCACUCAUGAAUCAUGAACGUGCGUAUAUGUUGUCAAAUACACCUCCUGGUUACAUCAUUAUACCAUAUGUGUGUGCAGGUUUGUAUCCAAGAAUUAGCCUUAUGAUAUCUUAGAAAAGAAAUAGUUGAAGGUGGAGUAAUCACUUUCCCAUAAAACGACAACGCGAUGCAUUUGAAGAGGAACAGAGGAUGUCGUUUAGCGUGAUAUAAGCAGGUCAGGUUUAUCUGAUACACUUUUUCCUCAUAUAUUAAUGAUAGUAAAUUUACUUUUUUUAUUUUUUAACUCUUUAUAAAUUAUAUUUAAAAGAAUAAUAGUGGAGUUUUUAUCUUGUAGUAUAUCAAACGGUUUAGAGAUGUAAGACUAUGAGAACUCUACGUGUAGCAGACUUUUAGUCAUAAAGUGAAUCACCAAACCAACCUGACCAAACCAAAAUUUUGGACAACGACAAAUUAUACCUAUGUUGGCUUCUUUUUUUUUGUCACAAGAUACUUUCUCGUAUAUAGAGUUGUAUCGGAAUACAAAAGCCGCUGCCAGGAGUUCCUUUCGUUCAAGAAAGUUUACCAUCUAACCCUCGGACAUGCAGAGAUGACCGGGGACACUUAGACAAUAAAACUUUAAUGUUCGAUAAGAAAACACCCAUAAGAGGUCCUAUUCUGCUUUCCGUCCUUUAUUCCUGUCGAGUACCCUGAAAAAACCAACAUAAACAGGAACAUAAGAGGUGUAUAUAUACACGAGAUAUAAUGAAAUUGGUUAAAACAAUUAAAGAGAAAACCAACAAGCUAAACAUUAAAUUGAAAUAAAAUAAGUAUAAUCGAGAUUCCUAAUAGAUAAUGAAAAUCCCGAAAAUAAUAAUAAAUACAAAACUAAGUUAUAUGCUUAAGGACCUAAUACAUCAUAAAAUAUAAAUCUCGCCGAAACUAAGUGAUUACUAAAAUAUACGCCCUCAAUGUUUGCUUCAAGUCCUAGUGCCCUUGAGUCUUGGGGAGUUGAGAUGACUAGCAAAAUACUCAACACCUGAGAAUUGUCACACCAUUAUUUCAACUAAUUAUUAACCUGCUUUACUCCCCUCUUUAUUUAAUACUAUUCACUUAUUCAUUUCAUGUUUGAAAUCUUAUUUAUUCCCUCCAAAUUGACCAACCUUGCAGUUGCAGAGUUGUUCAAUCGUUGUAAUGUACAGAGCUAACAACUGCGAGGAAAGAGCGUUGUAUAUGUUUUUUAUCCAUAUGCUGAUGAAGCUGCUAACCCAAGUAUAUGCUCAUCAUCUUAGCUAGUUGCUAUUCCAUCUCCAAUUAACACUUUGACAAAUAGAACUCUGCCCAAUUCGAAUUACACUCUAAACUCCAUAUCAAUUAUCCUUAAAUCACUAUGACCAAUAGAACCAGAGUCAUCAAGUAAGUUCACACUUGUCUGUGUUGUACUUUGUUUUCCCUGAAGGCUGGAAGCUAUUAGGUAAUCUACUGUCUAGUUUUACUUCGUAGAUCUUCAUCUUUUUGUUUUCUGAUCUUUUGGUAUCCUAUUAGCAGACAUAACGGCGUUCUUAUGAUAAACUAAUUGCAGAAUUUUCCUGAUUAUUCAAUGAUUAAAACAAAGUGAAAUUGCAUUAUGGAUUUAUGCAGAUUAUACCGCCCAUCAGAAUCAUGAUAAUUCAGGAUAAAUGUAAUUGUAGAUAUAAAUGCAGAAAUUCUCCUAAAGACAAGAUGAUGUAAAACUAGAUUAGGAUGAAUAACAGCUAUUUACAAGUUACAGAAACCUACUCAAAAAUUCCGUCACACGCAAAAUAUAUGAUUUCCUAGCUAUAAGCAGCCACUGGUAUACAGCUUUAAAGGUAGUCCGCUAAAGAGUGUAUUCUGACCAAAAAACAAUUAAAUUAUCAUAUAUCUCGGCCUUUGCAGUCGAACUGAGGAGAAAACUUAAGACCAAAAACCUAUGGAUACAAUAUCAUAAUUUCUCUUAUACUUCUUGAACUCGUGUAAAGCCGGCUCCACAUCCAAUGUAAGAGACAAGGCUUCACUUCCACCGUAAGCUAUCGACACUACCCGUGAAUCAGUGAUGACACUUAAAUUAAAAGCAGGGGGGCUGAAACUCCAGUACUGUCAAAUGUUAUGCAUUCCAUAGUUAUAUAGGAGAAAUAACUCAAUUGUACCACUACAAAAUUAUCACAAAUUAUGUAUUAAAAUUCAAGAGGGCUUUAACAAAAGUUUAAAUUUAGGUAAAUUAUAAAUAAGCACUUACUUUUAUAAAAGUGAUGCAUAUUCUUGGUGGAUGUUGGUUGAGAGUCAACUUUUAAGAGACAAUUUGUUUUGGAUUAGAACCAACCAGCAGUUCUCCCCUGAAUAUGUUAAUUACUUGAUUAAGUAAAUUGAUAUACACAAAGAUCAUUAUACACAUGCUAUGGUAGAGAUCCUUAAAACCAGAGCUCAAUAUGUCUACAACGUAUAUACCCGUGCUAGAUUAUAUUUGAAUUUAUUUUUCUACAUAUGUCUGUAUCUAUGAUUUUCCUAUGGGCCUGAAUUGACUCAGAGUUGCUGUACUAAGAUCGAGUUUGCAAAGAAUACAUCUUUCAAUUGAGAUUUUGAGAGAAAAUAACAUUGAAUUCUUCAAAAUGAAAAGGUGUUAUUAUGAUCCUAAAUAUUCAACAAUUAACAGUGAAUGAAAGAUCAACUGGAAUUCAAUUUACAAGGCUAUUAAAGUUAAAUGCUAAGAGGGAAUAGUUCCCAUGUUCACAGGCAAUUUACUGCAUACUACUGAGUUGUAACUUGUGUCAAAUACUUGACCCCCUUGGAUUAAUUUUAUUAAUAUUUAAAAAUAAUCAAUAGUAACAUUCAGGUAUCUGAGAAGAAGGGACAUUAGAGGAAUGUGCCAACACACGCUUAUCUAUUCUAUGCCCCUUAUAACAAACACAACACAUCAAACUUUAGUGACUCUUUAAUGACAAAUUUACAGCAUAGACAACUCCUAGAUAUACAUAUCACUUUCUAACUGGUAGAUUUAAUAGACUUAUAAUUCAAAAGGUGCUUAAUUUGCUACCUUAUUGGGAGAUAUCCUUCUUCUCUUGCUGUAUCAUGUUUCACUUUUGCACUCCUGGAGCAGAGAUGGAGGCCCCUCUGUUGCAUCUUCUUGAACAAUUUCUUGAGGCUGAGUUUGGGCUUUAGCCUCGUCUUGUGCAAGUGUAAGAAUUUGUUAUGUUGCACAGUGUUUGCUGCUUUUAGCUGUUCUUUCAUGAUAUUCCGCAGGUUUCUGCUAGAAUAUGCUUUCUUUGUAGAUAGAGAAUCACUUGUCACCUCAAUACAUACCGCACCUCACUAAAUUCUAUCUAAAUAGAAUAAUCUUGUUCACAAAAACUCCAUUUUUGUCGAUUCUUACUGAUCUACUGAAGCUUAAAUUUGUGUUUAGUUAUUUAAAUCUAUGGGCAAUAAUGUCAUCCAGGCAGAAACUUUGUUUGUCAAUAUACUUAAAGAUGAGGGUAGGUGAGUUUUUGGUCGUGAUUAGACUAAUUUUUGUAACCCCCUUUUGCCAUGAUAAUUUUUAUAUCAGGAGUGUACUGUGAUAGAGUGAUAGUGGGCAACUGAAUAUAUUUAUCCAAUUGGUAUAUGAGGAAAAGUGCAACAUAAGGAGGUUGAUAAGUGGAUUUUAUAUCCACUUGGAAGCCUUCGUUGUGGCUUAAAUUGAUGGAAUGGCCUUAAGCUUUUGAUUUUUUGUGAUAUGUUUUAGUGUUGUGUUGUGUAGGUUUCCUAGAAGGAGGACGAAGAGGGGAUUCAUAGCUUCAAGUGAAAAAAAACGGCGAAGCAAUCGGAUGCACGAGGAGAAAGUUAUGGACGUGGAAGCAUUAGGGUGCAAGGCUGCUGUUUUGGCGCGGCCGCCCCAACUCCUGGACGGGAGGCUGCCACUUUGGCGCGCCCACCCCAGCUUUGGCGCGGCCGCCCCGUUGGCACGGCCGCCCCACGACCUGAGCGGGAAUUUUGGCCCGUUUUGCCCAUUUUUGAUCCGUUUAAAGGCCCAUUCGCUGGGAAACUUAAAGGAAGGCUUGGGGGACUUAAAACACAACCUAGAAACCUUCUAAGGUGCACGUGACGGCUACGGAGAAGAUCAAGAUCGAGUUUUCAUUGUUUUACUUCUGUAAUUCUUCGAAGUAGGCGUAACUUUGGAUGCUUGUUUCAGAUUUGUUUCUUAACUCUUAUUCUAGUACUUUGACUUUGUUUUUCCUAUUCAGUACCAUGUUUACAUUCGAACCCAUGAUGAUGAGAAGUUCGAUUAUGAACUAAUCAUUGUCAUGGGAUUUUAGCGGAUUUAUCGAUGAAUUUCAGUAGUUAAUUUGCCUUGUUCAUAUGUGAUGGUUUGAUUUCCUCGUAUUGGUUGUGCUUAUUCGUCUUGGAUGCGUAGCUAACAUCUAAGAUUGCUUGUUAAUCUUUAUUGAAGCGACAGUGAAUAUAUUGAUUUAGAACUUGCCAUGCGAGCAUAGGUUUCGUGUUCGAUAACAUGACUUGUGAUGUGAUUUUACCCAUCUUGCAUCGCCCUAUGUAAUCUUGAUAGAUAACUUGCUCUUCAACCGUUAUGUUUUCAAAUUCUAUAGACAUAUAGGGUCUAAGCAUAAUUGGUGUCUGUUUACCUUCUAUCUUAAUUGUGGAUGUGUAGCAGUAUGGUGCACGUAUAACGACAGUUAGCGUGUAUCAGUCUCGUGUUAUCUGAUUAGUUAUCUACCAUUACAAUCGAAUAAGGGCAUAACUCUGAAUGAAGUUGUUAAUGAAGCUGGAAUCCCAUGUUCUUAUUCUCAUUAGUAAAUCGUUAUUCUCUUAGUUUAUAAUUCUUAGUUUCAUAAUUCGAAUUAAAUUAGUUAAGUAGAUAACCAAAACCCAAUUUGAUACUUGUCUAAGCAUUGAAUAAUAAUCAUACAUUGGUGCAUAAGUGCAUAUUUCUGAAUACACCAGUCUCUGUGGGAACGAACUGAAUUUGAUUCUAUACUACUUGUGACCACGUACGCUUGCGUGAUUUUGUGCGAACAAGUUUUUGGCGCCGCUGCCGGGGACUCGGUGUUUUAUUUUAGUUUAUGUGCUUGUCAUUAGUGGUCGUUAAAGUUCAGUGACUUGGAUUCUUUUCUCACUUUUAUUUCGUUUGUGUGUGUUUCAGGUACUUGAGUGACGUGUAUGCGAACACGUUCUCAGGCCCGUAAAGAAGCAUUGGCAAAAGCAGAAACGAUAGUGAGUACUACAAUGGGUGAUCGACCACCAGUUGUGAAUGAUACUAAGGCUCUUAAGGCUUUCUCUUAGCCUAAAAUCAAUGAUAUUCAGUCGAGCAUUGUCAGGCCAGCGAUCGAGGCCACCACUUUUAAGAUCAAACCGAGCACUAUUCAGAUGGUACAGAACUCAGUGCAGUUUGGGGGUUCUCCGACAGAGGAUCCUAAUAUGCAUAUUCGGGAUUUCAUUGAGAUCUGCGACACUUUCAAGUUCAAUGGGGUUCCUGACGAGGCCAUCAAAUUGAGGCUAUUCCCAUUUUCUCUGAGGGAUAAAGCUAAGGGCUGGUUGCAUUCUCUUCCUGCAGGAUCUAUUAAGACAUGGGAGGAUCUGGCUCAGAAAUUUCUUACUAAGUUCUUCCCUAUGGUCAAAACAGCUGCAAUCCGGAAUGCUAUCACUCAAUUCUCUCAGCUGUCCGGUGAAACUUUAUGUGAAGCGUGAGAACGCUACAAGGAGAUGCUUCGAAAGUGCCCACAUCAUGGGAUGCCUGAUUGGAUGGUUAUUAAUUGCUUCUAUAAUGGCCUGGGUCCUCAAUCGAGGCCAAUGCUCGAUGCAGCAUCAGGUGGAGCUCUAUGGGCUAAGAGCUAUGAUGAGGCUUAUGAGUUGAUCGAGAUGAUGGCUACAAAUGAAUAUCAGAAUCCUACUCAGCGUCUUCAUCAGGGAGUUCAACCACCACCUAAUGUUUGCGAGCUUUGUGCGGGUGCACAUUCUUCUGAUCAGUGUGCUAUAUCUAGUGAAUCUGCUCAGUUUGUGAGCAACUUCCAGAGGUCUCACCAGCCAGCUCCUGCCACUUAUCAUCCCAAUAAUCAGAAUCAUCCGAACUUCAGCUGGAGCAACAAUCAAAAUUUCAUGCAACAACCGCAGCAACAGUUUCAGCAGCAAGGAGCUAGACCCUUCAACCCUUCUGGUUUUCAACAGUUUGCACCGAAGAAGCAAUUCCAUCCACCUGGAUUCCAGCAACAAAAUCAUGGGGUGGCUGGACAGUCUUCCAAUGAAAUAUCUGAAUGGGAAGAGAUGAAAUUAAUGAUUAAAAGCCAAGCGGUGUCAAUCAAGACUUUGGAGAACCAGAUUAGGCAGAUUGCUAACGCGUUGAUAAACAGACCACAAGGAACUCUUCCUAGUGAUACCGAGGCGAAUCCGGGUAAGAAAGAGAUGAAGGAACAAGUACAGGCUGUCACCUUGAGGUCCGGAAAGGUUACAAAGGAAAAAGAAUCAGCAACAGAGCAAAACAAGGAAGAGAGUGAUCAACAGGUUGAAACACCCGGGCUCUCAUCUAAGUCUGAUAGUAGAAAAACUGUUGUUGAAGUUGACAAGAAUAAAAUCAACGAGGAAGCAAGCAAGGAAUCAGCUGAGAAGUCUAGUCCUAAAGCUGAUAUUGGGGUCAAGCAAGUAUAUCCACCUCCCCCUUUUCCGAAGAGACUUCAGAAGCAUAAGCUCGACAAACAAUUCGCUAAAUUUCUAGAGGUUUUCAAGAAAUUACAAAUCAACAUACCUUUUGCGGAGGCUCUAGAACAAAUGCCGAGUUAUGCUAAAUUUAUGAAAGGUAUUCUAUCUCGUAAGCUGAAGCUUGAGGACUUGGAGACCGUUGCUCAUACGGAAGAGUGCAGUGCGGUGCUGCAGCAGAAAUUACCUCCGAAACUCAAGGAUCCGGGGAGUUUCACAAUACUGUGUACCAUUGGACCAUUGUCAUUCGACAAGUGUUUAUGUGACUUGGGAGCUAGCAUUAAUCUGAUGCCAUUAUCUGUCUUCAAGAAACUUGGUUUGCCAGAGCCGAAACCUACAAACAUGUACUUACAACUGGCUGAUCGGUCCAUCACAUACCCGAGAGGUAUAGUGGAAGAUGUCUUGGUUAAGGUGGAUAAGCUCAUCUUCCCUGCGGAUUUUGUCGUUCUAGACUUUGAGGAGGAUAAGAAGAUUCCUAUUAUCUUGGGAAGGCCGUUCUUAGCUACAGGCCAAACUUUGAUCGAUGUGCAAAAAGGAGAGCUUACAAUGAGAGUUCAAGAUCAGAGUGUCACUUUUAAGGUGUUCAACGCAAUGAAAUUUCCAACCGACGAAGAAGAAUGCUUUAAGGUGGAACCACUAGAAGCUGUUGAAAAGUCUGAGAUGGCGCAAAAGCCAAGGCCAUGUACAUUAGAGAGCGUCUUAAUAGGGGAUUCUGAUUUCGAAGAUGAAGGAGUAGAAGAGCUUAGAAAUUUUCAGGAGCAUCUUAAACCAUCUAUUGAAGAAGCUCCCAUAAUCGAACUCAAACUACCACCGGAUCUCUUAAGUGAUGUGCAGUUUAGAAGGUUGUCACGGCGCAUAGAUGACAUGCAUGACAUUCACUGCCGUUUUGCAAAGGAUUUGACUAAGGCUCUUGGGAGUGCUUUUCGAGCCAUUGGUGUUGAGGUUGAUUGGCCAGUGUUUGGAGAUGGCAUGGUAUAUUCACCACCUGAUCCUCCACCCGAGGAGGGUGAUCCUCCCGACAUCUAGGUACAUUCUAUCCUUAUUAUCACCUUCAAUGCAGACAUUGAAUAUUUUAAGUUUAGGGGUGGUAAUCUAAGGAUUAGUAGUAGUAGUGUGUGUUCAUAUAGGUUGCAUGAUGCAUUUAGUUUAUCAUAUUGUCUCAUAUGUUUGCAUAUUAGUAUGUGUUUAUAUAUAUAUAUAUAUAUAUAUAUGCUUGUGUUUAGUAUGUGUUAGUAGUUUCAUAUAGUUGCAUUUGCAUGAAUCUUGAAGUUGUUUCCCAAGUUGAUGUCCUAUGAUGAGUUUAUGUGCAUAAUACUUGGCUAGUAGUCUUUAUCAUAUGUAACGCCUUGUUAGUUGGAAAUUACUUGUGUGAAAAUUGUAAUUACACUUAUGCUCUAGAGAUAAGACUUAGACUAACUUAUUUCUUGAGUCCUUACGUUGAGUCGGGCGUAGAGUUAGGAUUAUUCCCUUUUUGAACUUAGAGUUUUGUAAAUCUUAAGUUUGGGGGAGUUAAGGGAUGAAUAUGCCUUUUAAAAAAAAAGCAAAAAAAAGAAUAAAAAUUAUCAAGUACUCCUUUGAGAUCAUUGGGUAAUAUGCAAUGUCAUGUGGAAGGGACGAUCCAUGUACUGGCGCUGGUAUCAAGUGCAAAUGUAUUAGAAUAACCAAAUUCUUGGUGACUUUUCACAACCCUUGAUUACUGGAGAUUUACUUGAUUUAAAAAAAAGCAAGAAAAAAAAGAAGGAAUAAGCGAAGUCGAAUGGCGGUCGUGACUCACUUACACUGAGAAGCGUCCUAACCUUAGACUUAGCAAGAAAAAAAAAGAGAAAAAAUAGGAGAGGCGUAGGAAUUCUUUGGUGACCCUAAAUUAUAGUUGACUCUUUAGUAAAGAAGUGUUUAAACCUUAUUCUGAUUAACGGCUCGUAGUGAGGACUCUGUUGAUGUUUGAUAGUCUUUGUUUUGUUUCACUAGAGAGCAUGCUAGCACACACGAUGCACUUCACACUUGUAGUGGAAGAGAACAUGGCUAAUAUGUGAAAGAGAUGAAUGUCGAGAAUGUUGCAUAUUCUGAGGAUUAUAUGUUAACACGGAUUACACUUCAUGGUUCGAGUAGAUGUAGGCAUUUAGUUGCAUUCAUGCAUUGCAUUAGUAGUAAUUGUGUGUGUGUCUAUGCUUGAGGACAAGCAUCGGUUUAAGUUUGGGGGUGUGAUAAGUUGAUUUUAUAUCCACUUGAAAGCCUUCGUUGUGGCUUAAAUUGAGGGAAUGACCUUAAGCUUUUGAUGUUUUUGAUAUGUUUUAGUGUUGUGUUGUGUAGGUUUCCUAGAAGGAGGGCGAAGAGUGGACUCAUAGCUUCAAGUGAAAAAAAAACGGCGAAGCAAUCGGAUGCACGAGGAGAAAGUUAUGGACGUGGAAGCAUUAGGGUGCAAGGCUGCUGUUUUGGCGCGGCCGCCCCAACUUCUGGACGGGAGGCUGCCCCUUUGGCGCGCCCACCCCAACUUUGGCGCGGCCGCCCCACGACCUGAGCAGGAAUUUUGGCCCGUUUUGCCCUUUUUUGAUCCGUUUAAAGGCCCAUUCGCUGGGAAACUUAAAGGAAGGCUUGGGGGACUUAAAACACAACCUAGCCUUCUAUGGAGCACGUGACGGCUACGGAGAAGAUCAAGAUCGAGUUUUCAUUGUUUUACUUUUGUAAUUCUUCGAAGUAGGCGUAACUUUGGAUGCUUAUUUCGGAUUUGUUUCUUAAAUCUUAUUCUAGUACUUUGACUUUGUUUUUCCUAUUCAAUACCAUGUUUACAUUCGAACCCAUGAUGAUGAGAAGUUCGAUUAUGAACUAAUCAUUGUCAUGGGAUUUUAGCGGAUUUAUCGAUGAAUUUCAGUAGUUAAUUUGUCUUAUUCAUAUGUGAUGGUUUGAUUCCCUCGUAUUGGUUGUGCUUAUUCGUCUUAGAUGCGUAGCUAACAUCUAAGAUUGCUUGUUAAUCUUUAUUGAAGCGAUAGUGAAUAUAUUGAUUUAGAACUUACCAUGCGAACAUAGGUUUCGUGUUCGAUAACAUGACUUGUGAUGUGAUUUUACCCAUCUUGCAUCGCCCUAUGUAAUCUUGAUAGAUAACUUGUUCUUCAACCGUUAUGUUUUCAAAUUCUAUAGACAUAUAGGGUCUAAGCAUAAUUGGUGUCUGUUUACCUUCUAUCUUAAUUGUGGAUGUGUAGCAGUAUGGUGCACGUAUAACGACAGUUAGCGUGUAUCAGUCUCGUGUUAUCUGAUUAGUUAUCAACCGUUGCAAUCGAAUAAGGGCAUAACUCUAAAUGAAGUUGUUAAUGAAGCUAGAAUCCCAUGUUCUUAUUCUCAUUAGUAAAUCAUUAUUCUCUUAGUUUAUAAUUCUUAGUUUCAUAAUUCGAAUUGAAUUAGUUAAGUAGAUAACCAAAACCCAAUUUGAUACUUGUCUAAGCAUUGAAUAAUAAUCAUACAUUGGUGCAUAAGUGCAUAUUUCUGAAAUACACCAGUCUCUGUGGGAACGAACUGAAUUUGAUUCUAUACUACUUGUGACCACGUACGCUUGCGUGAUUUUGUGCGAACAGAGGUAUCAGGCCAUUAGUUCAGACCACUCAAUCAAUAAAACACCACUACAAUGCAUAUUUUAUCUAUCUGGGAGAUCGGAUAUGUAUUAAUAAAGUUUCUAGAAUAAAUUUCUUAUAUUAUGAUCUGUAAGUCUAAAUGUAAAGACAACCCUAUCUGUUACAUAGGGAUGAUAACUCAACAAUAGAACAGGACAAGUAAAUAACACUACGCCUGCACCGGAAUCGGAAGAUACGAAGACAAAGGUUGAAGAAGCCAUCUACAGUCUUGAAGGAAUAAGUUCACUGGAAGAAGUUCAUUAAUAUGUUCAUGCCUCAGUGAAGAAUAAAGAUUGAAGUAUUCAAGAUUGUGGAAGCAAUGAAGAUGUUGUCCAAGUACUCGAAAGAUUUCAGUGCAACCCCUGAAGCAAGAUAUUUCUAUAUAUCUUGGUUGGUUAUUUAUAAUCAACAAACUGAAGCAUAAACUAGCCCGGAACCGACUGAUCAAUGGUUGCUGACAAAGACGGUACAAUGUUCAACUUCAGUGUUAGUCGCUUGUGAACCAGACCAGUGCACUAAGCGUCAGCACGUACGGAGCUUUGCAAAGUACUUAUCGAUCGAAGAAUUGAUCCAGUCAUAUCAAGUCAUUUGUUCCACAGCCAAGCCAAGUCAAAUGCCAGCUAUGCCAAAGCUUACUGCUCAAAUGCCAUAUGUCAAAGCUUCCACAGAAAGCCAUAUCAGGAAGUGACACUUUAUAUAUGUGUGCACUUAUAUAUUUGUAUAUGUACAAAUAUAAUUAUAUAUGUAUAUAUGUAUAUUUAAUUAAAUAUAAUAUAUAUAAUAUAUAUGUAUAUAUGUUUUUAAACAUAUGUAUAUGUAUAUUUAUAUGUAUAUAUAUUUAAAUAAAUAUAUAUGUAUAUAAUAUAUGUAUUUAUAUUUUACAUAAACAUUUAUAUAUUUAAGUGUAUAUAUAUAUUAUAUUAUGUGCAUAAAUAUAUAUGUAUAUUUAGAGAGAGNNNNNNNNNNNNNNNNNNNNNNNNNNNNNNNNNNNNNNNNNNNNNNNNNNNNNNNNNNNNNNNNNNNNNNNNNNNNNNNNNNNNNNNNNNNNNNNNNNNNNNNNNNNNNNNNNNNNNNNNNNNNNNNNNNNNNNNNNNNNNNNNNNNNNNNNNNNNNNNNNNNNNNNNNNNNNNNNNNNNNNNNNNNNNNNNNNNNNNNNNNNNNNNNNNNNNNNNNNNNNNNNNNNNNNNNNNNNNNNNNNNNNNNNNNNNNNNNNNNNNNNNNNNNNNNNNNNNNNNNNNNNNNNNNNNNNNNNNNNNNNNNNNNNNNNNNNNNNNNNNNNNNNNNNNNNNNNNNNNNNNNNNNNNNNNNNNNNNNNNNNNNNNNNNNNNNNNNNNNNNNNNNNNNNNNNNNNNNNNNNNNNNNNNNNNNNNNNNNNNNNNNNNNNNNNNNNNNNNNNNNNNNNNNNNNNNNNNNNNNNNNNNNNNNNNNNNNNNNNNNNNNNNNNNNNNNNNNNNNNNNNNNNNNNNNNNNNNNNNNNNNNNNNNNNNNNNNNNNNNNNNNNNNNNNNNNNNNNNNNNNNNNNNNNNNNNNNNNNNNNNNNNNNNNNNNNNNNNNNNNNNNNNNNNNNNNNNNNNNNNNNNNNNNNNNNNNNNNNNNNNNNNNNNNNNNNNNNNNNNNNNNNNNNNNNNNNNNNNNNNNNNNNNNNNNNNNNNNNNNNNNNNNNNNNNNNNNNNNNNNNNNNNNNNNNNNNNNNNNNNNNNNNNNNNNNNNNNNNNNNNNNNNNNNNNNNNNNNNNNNNNNNNNNNNNNNNNNNNNNNNNNNNNNNNNNNNNNNNNNNNNNNNNNNNNNNNNNNNNNNNNNNNNNNNNNNNNNNNNNNNNNNNNNNNNNNNNNNNNNNNNNNNNNNNNNNNNNNNNNNNNNNNNNNNNNNNNNNNNNNNNNNNNNNNNNNNNNNNNNNNNNNNNNNNNNNNNNNNNNNNNNNNNNNNNNNNNNNNNNNNNNNNNNNNNNNNNNNNNNNNNNNNNNNNNNNNNNNNNNNNNNNNNNNNNNNNNNNNNNNNNNNNNNNNNNNNNNNNNNNNNNNNNNNNNNNNNNNNNNNNNNNNNNNNNNNNNNNNNNNNNNNNNNNNNNNNNNNNNNNNNNNNNNNNNNNNNNNNNNNNNNNNNNNNNNNNNNNNNNNNNNNNNNNNNNNNNNNNNNNNNNNNNNNNNNNNNNNNNNNNNNNNNNNNNNNNNNNNNNNNNNNNNNNNNNNNNNNNNNNNNNNNNNNNNNNNNNAGGUUUAGUCAUGUCAGAUUUCAGAUGGAAUCCAUUGGUUUCAAGUGGUGACUCGUUCUACGGUUCAGUUCAAGGAGGUUGUUUUCAAAACUGAGUUGGUCUGUACACACAAUAUUGGUUGGUAUCUUUAGCAAAUAAGGGUUGCUAUAUAUAUUGAAGCCUCGACAAACAAGGAUGAUAGGGCUUGUCUGAAAUUCAAGUGGAUGUUUUGAAAGAAACAUCACAACAAGUUCUUAUGCUAUUUUAGGAAAGGUGUGAGCUGGAUCAGUUGCUGAUGAGAAGGAUGAUUAUGGUUAUCUGGCUAUCCUAGCAUUCUCUGAAGAUGACUCAACUCGCACAUCUCAGGUACGAAUUCUUUCUAACUAUGCAAUACAUAUUUCUUUAUAUUCAAAGCAUGUUAUAAAUCUCUGAGUAGAAUUGUUUAACACACAAGCACAAGCAUGAUAGCAUCACAAUAGAUAAUGUUGAACUAGUAUGCUAGAUCACUGUUCUGGUAACUAGGAUUGAUGAUAAUCUUGUGCAUGUGUCUUUAGCAGAUUCUUAACAUGUGUAUGAAUAUUUAGGAUUUGAUUAUUUGCAAUGGUGAGAUUAGAAGCUUUCCUUUGGAACACAACUCUUAGUUUUAGGGGUUAUGAUCCUAGCAUGUAUAACUUUGUUAAAACACUUACUUUCAGAUUCCCUAGUACAAUUAGAUUUGCUUAUCUAAUCUGAAUUGUUUGUUAAGGAUUUUAUUUUGUUCUAUGAUGGAAUGUCUACCUUGUGUCAGUAGAACUUUUAGAACUUCAUGUUAGAUCUAAAACUGACUUAGGUAAUAGAGAUAGUAUAAUGCCAUAUAACAACAGAUUGGGAUUAGUAUGAAUUGAUAAUGUGAUUAUUAAUUUCUUGUGUCUAAUCCUUAUGCUUUUAGAAGAUUAUUGAAUAUAUGUAAUUCUACUUGCUACCUGUUGCACUUGUGUUAAUUGGUUUAAGUAGAGAGUACUGAAUCUUCUGAAUUGCAUAACUGCCUGUCUUGCUCUUGUCUUAUCUUUGAUUGUUUGCCAUGUGUAUUCAACAUCAUGUCUGCUUAUUUUCAUGUCAUGAAUGCAUGUCUUUGUACUUGCAUUGAUUUUAGAAAAGCAUGUUUGAGAAUCACAUUAGGGCAAUGUCUAGAUAAGAAUUAGCAUGUUAAGGUUGCUUCUGUUGUUACCACUGUUAAAGAAAAAUCUCUAAUCCAUCCGGACCCAGUUAUGAUUGGGGACCAUAGAACUCUUUCCAUUUGUGAUUGCAGGUUACAUAUGUUCCAUAUGAUUUUUGGUGCACUCUGUUUGCUGAGUAGCUGAAAUCAUAUGAUUCACCAAAAGUACCCUGUUAGCAAAUGUGAUCGUGUGAGCAGUUCCGUCAAUAAUCUUUGAAAGAUGACAACAAAGAUUCUCUUGCGGGACAUGCCUGUUUUCCUGGAAUGUCAUCAUGGAAGCAUAUCUUUCUUGGAAGAGUCAAAGCACACAAAUUCCUAGUAUCAGACUGUUCUCUAACAAAUGACAGUAUGUCAGUUCAUGGAAUAGUGUUUUAUCUCAAAUCAGGAAGGAUGUGAAUUUUGCUCGUAGCUAAUAUGGAACUUCAACUGAAGAUGGAGUGAGCUGUUUUGAUAGUGAAGCCUCAUCAGAUGAGUAUUAGCUAUGGCACUUGAAGCUCUCGCACUUGUAUGUCAAAACAAGGAGCUCUUUCUAUUCGUAAGAAGAGAAUUGGUGAGAGGACUACCUCAUCUGGAAUUCAAUAUGGAUGAAGAUUAUGAGGUAUGUCAAUAGGGAAGUCGAAGGAGCAUCGCACAGAAGCAAAGAUAUGAUCAACAUUACUGAGCCGCUUCAGAUGAUACGUAUGGAUUUCUACGGAUCAGCUAAUGUCAUGUCUGCAAACAAAGCCAGAUAUCUUUUUGCGAUGAUCAUUGACUACUCUAGAUUCUUUCGUGUUGUUCGUAUGUGUUCGAAGGACAAGACGUCACAAAUGAAGGUUGAUCAAGAUGAACCCUGAUCAUUGAUAAAUCCAGAAAGACACCAUUCUUGUCAGUGGCCAAUCAGAAGCAAACACUAACUCUUGGUAUGUGUUUGGAGGAAAAUGCCUCUUUGCAAGUCUUGCAUUUGAAGCUCAAAGAAUAUUUUCCUCGGCUACUCAAUGGAGUCUACAGUCUACAGGGUGAUUGUGAUUAAUCAACAGAAGGUGAUUGUAAGUCUGGACAGGACAUUGAACGACACUUUGCUCCAAGCUGUUAAAGGUGAUAUUAUUGGUUUAAUAAUGAUUCAGAUCCAAGCAGAAUCUCUUUGCAAGGAUAAGGAUUAUUAAGGAAAUCCCAGCAACAGCUUAGGGGGAGCAUUUGGUGGAUCCACUAGUCAAACUCAACACCACAUUGAAGAUGAACAGGACAUAUCAAGAACGUAUCUGCUUAGACAAAGGGUUUAGAGUCUAUAUCAUUCCCGGGUUCUAGUUCUUAAAUGUUCCGAAUGGUGAAGUGAAGACUAGGAGAGCUAUUGUGAAAGGAUGUUAUUUCUUUGGGUUUCAAUCUGAAGUGAAACUUGAGGAAGAUUCAGAAGCUCUUAAAGGGAUCCAGAUUGAGUGAUUGCACAGCAAGAUGAUCUCAAUCAGUUUGAAAGCAGAUUGUGCGGAUUCUGAUACCCUGACCUAAUGACAAUUCAGUACUUAGUACUUGUCGGGUAUUUAGAUUCCAACUGGAUGUUUUUGGCUCUGUUACGAGGGACAAGCCAAUUUGGUUGCUUAGAGUUACUUCAAAAGAGAAGGUUAUGAAGAUGAUGGAAAUAGAAUCUUCAAGUUCAGGACUCUACAUCUUAGGGGACUCAACGACCUUCAUGAUUGAACUAAAGCACCAUUGACGAGACUCGGGUUCAGGAUAUUACAGUGAGCUAGAAGAUGAAGCUUCAUGCAACAUUUCAAGGACUUUGCAGUUGCAGAUCCAACGGAAUUUGUAUUCUCUUUCUUCACCAGCUCUCUAUGAGUUGCUAUCCAACACCUGAUGAUCGUCACGGACAUGGUAUGACUUCUGACUAGCAUAUUAUUUUAAUAUCUGUUUGCUAGAGUCAUAUUUGGUAUCCAAAUUAUUACCUCUCAUGAUACAAGGCACACACAAUACAACUAUCUGUGCUGUGAUACCAUGAUUAUAUUAUAUGUGGACUAACGUCACUUGUGCAAGAUAAUUGCUAAGUGAAUGCAGAUUAGUGAUAUGAUGAGUUUGUUGGAAAGUUGCAAUUCUUUAUGGUCUACUAGUUAGCCUAAAGAAUGAUGGCAAUAAAAGGAAGUCAAGGAUCUUUUGAAUAUGCGCAAUUUGGAAGAUUCUAGACCUGCCAAGACUUAUGCCAACAACCACUGGACUUGAUCAGUACAAGAAAGGUACAUCAACUGAAAUCUCAAGUCUCAGAGGCAUUCAACUCAUCACUUUACUCAACUGCAAGUGGAUCACAUACUAUAUUUUCUAUAAGGUACUACUUCUUUCAUGAGCAUGUCUAUCGUAUUUCUUAAAUGAAUUCAUGAGUAUUAAAUUGUCUAUACGUAGGACUUGUGAAUUUAUUUAAAAUCCAGUACCUCGUGCUUUUUGUUAUUCUAUGUGAUUGUCAUGUUUAUUGCUUUGCAUGCUUAGAUGGUGAUUACAUGUUUUAGCAUGAGUGUUUGUUAUUUCAAUUAUUUAAAUUGUGUUGCAUGACAAUUAAGUGACUUAUUUGUUCAUGAUUUAAAUGAUUAGGGAUGACAUGAAGCAUGACUUAAUUAUGUUAUUUUUCUUGAUCUAUACCUCUUUAACAAUUGGUAUCUAGUAGAGAACUUUGUCAUAAUCUAGUCGUGAUAUAUCUGUAUUUGUGAACAUACUUAGGAUUAUUUUCUAGGUUGAAUUCAUUUUUAUAGGUAUAAAAUCUGAAGCAUGACUUAUUUGUUUCUAGACUUGUGACUUGUAUCAGUAAUUGGUAUGUGGUUAGAAUCUAGUUAGAAUUUAGUCAUGAUAUACUAGUAUUUGUGGAGUUACUUAGAUUCUCUCUAGGCUGAAUCCAUUUAUAUUAGUGUAUAUACUUGAAGCAUAACUAUUUGUGUUGGAUAUUUGAUGAUUUAUUAAUUGAUAUUUUAUUUCAUGUCUAACUGCAUAUAGUUGUGAUACUUUUAGUGUUAGUGAUAUUAUUGCAUGCUUAUAUGUAGAUCACUAAUAUUAAUUGUUAAUAUUUUUCUGCGAGGAGUUGUGUGCGUUCACGUGUGUUUAGUGAUUAUUUGUAUAGGACUCGUGAACUUUUCCUCAACUUUCCCUCGGGCUUGCGAAUAUCUUUGUAUGAUUGUCAUGAUUUUAGUUGUUAUAUGCUGAUCUGAUAAUUAUAUGAUAUUGCGUAGGUAAUUAUUAUUUUAUCUUAGUUAAAUUGUGAUCCAUGACAAUUAUAUGCUUAUUUGUUUCAUGAUUGACUUUGAUAGAAUAAUAGAAGCAUGAUUAAUUCAUUUUUGAAAUAUUUAAUUGGUAUCUAUUUUUGAUGCUUUAUUGAUGUUUUAUUUGUGAAUUGAUUGUGAUGUAUUGGCACUGGUGAAAUAUUGUUGCAUAUUUCUUAAAACCACUGGUGCUAAUAUAUUUUAGGUGUUUAAUAUUCUGAGUACAAGGGAGACAACAUAAUCUUUAUUCUGUCUCAUAUUUAUGUUCUGGAGUGGUGAGUUUCUUCAAAGAAAUUUUCUUAUCAAUUGAUUUCAACAAUUGGUAUCCACUACUCUAUUUCAUAAAUAUUUCUUAGAAUAUUUUGCAUCUAUACAUGUAGCGUCAUAGGACGAGACAUUGAUUAUCUUGUAUUUGUGUACUUGGUGAUCUUUGUCACUUGCAGCGUCUGUUUUGACGAUGUGCUAGUAUGAGGCCUUUUCACUAAUUAGUGUGGCGAGUGCUUUAUACACUGUAGCGCAUAAAUUUUCUUGUUUCCUUUUUAAAUUGUAGUGAGAAACAGGAGUCUGUGUCUUUUUCAAAGACAAGUUCAUUUAAACCUUUUAUGCAUAGAUUCAGACUCUCGUACUCAAACCAGUUUUUAAUGGAAAACUUUGAUUCUUUCAUCGGUUGUGAUUGUCAUUCUUUAUGAAAAUCAUUUUUACAAUCACAACUGAUUCAUUUUUCCUCAAAAGAUUAAAUGCAAUUGCUUUCAUUCAAAAUCAUAGAUUUUCUAAAAUGCAUUUAUAUCUCUUUCUGUUCUUCGGAACUUAAUCAGCCUCUUGGCUUUCCUAGAUAGUCAUAAGGUUGAAAACCAACAAUCUUUAUCCCAGACUAUAAAACCAAAUUCAGAACACAUCCCAACUUUCCCCCUGGAGUAAUAAGGAACUUAUUAGACUAGAGGUCAAUGAGGGAGAAACUGUACUUGUUGCAGCAAAUAAGGAUGUGAGGGAUAGUGUACCCACAGCUCUACCUCUCAAGAAGAAAAGGUGUUUUCAAACUUGAGGUAACUGUUGCUCAUCUGUAUUCUCUCAAAAGAAUAUAGAGCUGAAAAGGCAAUAAAACAGUCUCUGGAAUCAUUCUCUCAACAGGAUGAGUCCAUUGAAAUUCGCUCGUCAGCCAGAGCAUCUUGUAUUGAGUCAAGCACAUCAUCAGUAAUCACUCUGAUGAAGAGCCUAAACAAAAAAUCUUAUGGACACAAUACAAGAGAGUGCACAGUAAGGUUAAAGGUUUUGUUCCAGAAGCAACUUCUUCAUUUACCAUUUUACGGUAGAUAAGAUGGUUGAUGCCUUUACAGGUGUAAGGAGGAAACGAGGAUCUCAAUUGCCAAAUCUUCAGGAUUCUCGUCUCCCUCCCCAGAUAAGAACAGAUCUGGAUCCAAUCGGAAUGGAUUUCCUAUUUAUAGGAGAUCGGCAACUCUCUGACUAUGAGUCAAUUUAUUGAUGAGUCAGUUGAGGAUCGGGGAUUUACGAAACCCCAUUGCACCGCCAGUGACCUCUCUUGAAGGGGCUAUGGUGAUUUUCUCAUGCAGGUACAGAAGACCAUACUUUGAGUGCUGAGAGAAACACUGUGAGCCAAACACUGAGAGUUAAACACUUGGUGAGAUUCUGAGAAGAACCAGUGAGAUAUCAGAAUGAGAAAUAUGUGAGCAUGAGUGAGUGCAAACACAUAGGAUUUUGAGAUAUAUAUAUAUAUAUAUAUAUAUAUAUAUAAUGGUGCCAAUGGGAGUCCAAAAGAAAAUUUGUCUAAGUAUAAACUAUGCGGCUGUUUCAACUGAAGCGCAAACUUUGACCCGGUCAAAGUUUGCGCCUCUACACAGUGUAUAACACUUAGAAUAUUUUCUAAGUAUACAAACCUUAUGCACACAGUGUGAAGAGUGAAUUAAGCGCCAAGUUUGACUAAGUCAAAACUUGCGCUUAGUUUUUCUCUUUGCAAAAACGGCUAAGUACCUCAACAAUGGACAGUAGGUUGAAGCGCAACAUUUGACCAAAAAGUCAAAUGUUGCGCCUCCCGUUACUUCCUUGGCGCAACUCCAUACACGAGCAAAUUCUUCUAAGUCACAGAGGUGCACCCUUCCUUGGCGCAACUCCAUACACGAGCAAAUUCUUCUAAGUCACAGAAGUGCACCCAACUGUUGUAUACAGUACUGGCGCAACUUAAUUGAGUUUAUUAUGAAUUAAUUAAAUUUAUCUAAUAAACUUAAUUAAAUUUACUUUAUAAACUUUACUAAAUUCAUUUAAUAAAUUUGCUUAAAUUUAUUUCAGACUUGUAAAGUUUACUCUUAGACUUUAUCAAGUUUAUCAUAAAUUUUUAUAAAUUUAUUAUUUAAAUUUGUAUAGUUUAUGAUUUAAAUUUAAGUUAAAAUCUAGAAUAUAAAUGUUAGAGGAUUUUAUUGAUUAUGGAUAUAAGUUCAACUUCAAGGGUUCAAUUUGAUUUGUUCUGGAGAUGAGUAGAGGCGCAACAUUUGACUUUAGUCAAAUGUUGCGCCUCUACUCAUCUCCCUUGGCGCAACUUCAUUCUACACUUGGAUUUCUUCUAAGUACCACACAGGGGUACACUGGACAGAGUGUUGGCGCAAGGUUUGACCAAGCGCCAACUUUGACCAUCCACUCACAGGCGCAAGUUCAAGCAAUUUGGAGUUAGAUUUAUUUUGUUAAAUCGAAUCCGUCCAGGACGAACUCAAGUCGUCCAGGACGAACUCGUUAACCAUGGUUAGUUUAUGAAAGCCUAUAAAUAUGUGAUUGUGGUUCUCACAAUUUACAUCAUCCUUCGGGAUGGAUGGCCAAGUGCUAUGCACAAACUCUCUCAAAUAUACACACACCCUAGCCUAGUUUUGUACCAUAAAUAUUUGUAGUGGAUAGGGCUUGUAAUAUUUAGAGGAGUGGUCAUUGUAGCCAACCUUCGGGUUUGGAUUUGUAGCACCUUCGAGGUAUUUAUCAAUAUACAGAUAUACCUUGGAAAAUAUUGUGUGUUGGUUUAAUAUUUUCAUAUCCUCAGAAACCGACCUAAUAAAUAUCCGGAACACGAAACCCAUUACAGGACUGCAAUUUAUUUAUCCGCAAGAUUCGAAAGAAUUUUAAAUUGUAGUGAGUAUCGUAUUCAACCCCCCCCUUCUACGAUACUUUGGACCUAACAUGAUCCUUUUAGGGAAUAAACUGAUUAGUGACUUGCAAUUAAACAUAAUCAAUGUUUUGGGAAAAGAAAAAAUUAAGAAUGCUCUGCAACUACUUAGAUAAUCUAUUUGACAACUAUGUUCCAAAUAUAUUCUUACAUGUGAUUUUCAGCAAUGUGAGGGACAUCGUCUAUCCAUGAUACUUCUUCAUCGAGCUGCAGUGUCUACUUAGCCAUGUUAUGAGCCGGAUAAUUGUACUUUCUACUAAUAUGCGAGACUCUUGUAUUUGGGGAAUUUGACAAUAAAAUGAAAAGCCUAUAAAUACCCAUGGAUUUUGUUCUCAUUUGUAACACUUUGAAUGCUCUGCAACUACUUAGAUAAUCUAUUUGACAACUAUGUUCCAAAUAUAUUCUUACAUGUGAUUUUCAGCAAUGUGAGGGACAUCGUCUAUCCAUGAUACUUCUUCAUCGAGCUGCAGUGUCUACUUAGCCAUGUUAUGAGCCGGAUAAUUGUACUUUCUACUAAUAUGCGAGACUCUUGUAUUUGGGGAAUUUGACAAUAAACUUCUUAUAUCAGCAAUGAGAAUCCCCAUUUCAUUGUGAUACACCACCUCCUCAUUGUUUACUGCUUGGACCACAGAUAACGAGUCGCUUAAAAUUCUUUUUGGUGUCAACCCACUAAAUUACGUCCACUGUAGUCCCACUAGCAGAGAUAAAGCCUCUGCAUGUAACACUGAUAAAACACCCUCUAGUGGCUUUGAAAGGGCUGCUAGACUUCUUUUGUUUGUUGUGACAAUAACAGCUCCUAAGCCUACCUUUGGUGAAGAUGUGGAUAUUGUCGCAUCUACAAACAGAUCCAGAUCUUGAGUAUCCAUCCCAACCUGAUCCGUAUGCGAGUAAUCUCGGCUAUUUUGCGCUGCAUUCGAGUUCUCUCUGCUCUUUUUUGCUCCACUUUCAUUCUCAUGUGCCAUCUUAACUUCAUCAUAGUACAAGGUUAACCAAUUUUUUAGUUGUUGUGGAUUUCUUUGUUGUUGGCCAUGAGUCCUCUUAUUUCUUUCUAUCCAUAGGCCCCAUGUUGUGAUAAGCAUCCUAGAGAAAUCUUCCUUGUCUAGUAGUUCAGAAGCGUAUAGCAACACCCCUUUAAAAGAGAUUUCUUCCUUGUGACCUACUAAAAAAGGGUAAUCCAUUAUUUCCCACAGACUCUGAGAGAAAAAGCACGAAAACACGGCGUGAGCAUUAGAAUCUUCUCCAAAACCACGUAUCGGACAGCUGCUAUGAGAGGAUACAUUUCUACGGUAUAAGCCCUUCCACGUGGGAAGUAUCUCAUGAUAUCCCCUCCACGCGAAUAAUAGUAUCUUCCGAGGGAUUUUAACUGCCCAAAAUGCUUUCCACCCUUUUGAAAUUACAUCAGAUGACGAUGAGUCGCCUGAUUUAUUAUUUGAAAUCGCCAUCUUGUAUCCACUUUUGACCGAGUAGUUACCAUUUUUGCUAUAGUGCCAAAACCAUGAAUCUGGAUGAUCGAAAGGACUUAGCGGGAUUGAUAAAAUAAGUUGGGAAUCUGGGGUUAGAAAAUAUUGUUGAAUAAGAUCACCAUUCCACAUCCCUGGUUGUUGGAUAAGUUCCAUAACUUUCAAAUUUUGAUUCAAUCCUUGGGUUAUGGGCAGAAAAGAUGGUGGUCGUGGUAUCCACGGAUCUUUAAAUGCCAUGGUACUUUGUCCGUUUCCUAUGCGCCUUCUUAACCCUUCCCUUAGUAAUCUUUUCCCCCAACAAAUACUUCUCCAAGUUAGAGAUGGACAACUUCCUUCUUUUGACUCCAGAAAACUUGAGUUUGUGUAAUACCUUGCUUGUAGAAUUCGUGAGAGAUGAGAUGUUGGAUUAGCUAAAAUUCUCCAUGCUUGUUUAGCUAGUAAAGCUUGGUUGUAUUGGACAAAAUUUAUGAAACCUAAUCCUCCUUCACUCUUUGGGAUACUUAUUUUCCUCCAUGCUCUCCAAUGAAUUUUAUGUUUUGAAUGAACAGAUCCCCACCAGUAACGAGCUAACAAACUUUCUAUUUCUUGACAUAAACCUUCAGGGAUUUUAAAGCAAGACAUCAGAUAUGUCGGCAUAGCUUGGAUAACAGCUUUCAAAAGAACUUAUUUUCCUCCUUGUGAGAAAGAAUCAUCUUUCCAUGUAAGAAGUCUCAUCCAUAUCUUAUCCUUUAUUGAUUUGAAUAGUAGCUUUUUAUUUUUACCUCCCAACAUUGGUAAUCCCAGAUAAUUUUCAAUAGCAUUUGUCAUUUGCAUUCCUAGGCAGCCAGUGAACUCCAAUCUUAUGUCUUCCGCAGUGUUUGGAGAAAAGAAUAAUAUUGAUUUAUUAAAAUUAAUCAUCUGCAUACAAGUCAGUUGGAUACCCAUCAGUUCAGUUAUUAAUUAUUCGUAUUAAUUUAGUUUUUACGGCAAGAAGCUAGUUACUUAACUAUUGUAUUUAACUCAAUUAUAAAUGUACCUAUCCUGAACAUUCAGAAUAGAGAGAGAAAAUUUCCUGGAGAGCUUGAAGAGAUCUUGUUGAAGCCUUAAUGAAAUGUAAGCUGUCAUCCGCAAAGAAUAGAUGUGUUAUAGACGGGGCAUUUCUUGCGACUUUCAGCCCCAUGAUUUCCUUUUUGUUUUCUGCUUGUCUUAACAGAAAUGAUAAGCCUUCUGCACAAAUAAGGAAUAAAUAGGGUGAGAGUGGGUCUCCUUGACGAAGUCCUCUCGAAGGAAUUACUUCACCAUGGCUUUUUCCGUUAAUCUCAAACGAAUAUCGAACUGAAGUGAUGCAUCUCAUCAAUUUGUUUACCCACUGUUGUGUAAAGCCUAACCUUAUAAGCAUUUUUUCAAUAAAGAUCCACUCCACCCUAUCAUAAGCUUUACUCAUAUCCAGCUUCAUUGAGGCGUAACAUUCCUUACCAUCUCUCAUUAAUCUCAACACAUUUAGACAUACAUAGGCAAUCAAAGAAUUAUCUGUAAUUUGUCUAUCAGAAACAAAAGCACUUUACGUCUCAUGUAUAAUCCUUGGCAGAAUUGGUUUUAGUCUGUUGAUUAAAACCUUAGAGAUUACUUUGUAGAGCACGUUACACAAACUAAUUGGAUGAAAAUCACCUACUGUCUUUGGGGCUUUUACCUUUGGGAUAAGUGUAACAAGAGUAGAAUUUAUCGCGCCAAUCUCAGCCUGUUCAUUUAGACAAUCCAUAACAGCUUUUGAAACAAGUGGGCCUACAAUAUCCCAGUGUUGUUGGUAAAACAUUGCGUUCAUUCCGUCCGGUCCCGGACUCUUAUCAGGAGACAUAGAGAAAACCGCCUUCUUAAUUUCUUCUAUUGUGAAUCCUCUAUCUAAAGAUCUGCUCAUUUCUUCGGUCACUACUGGUUGAACUGCUGCCAAUAACUGUUCUAUUCUCUCCUCCGCUGGUUGUGACGAUGCAAAUAGAUUAUCUUUAAAACUUUUAAUUAUUUCACUGAGAUCUUCCUCAUUUGUGCACCAAUCGUCCUCUUCAUUUAGCAAUCCUGCGUUUAAAACAUCAAAGAUGUUAUCUUAGGCUGCUUUAUCUUAGUUAACUAGAUAUAUCCAAAAGUAUUCCUUCUAUGCUGUAUUGUUUAGGAUAUCUAAUGAUCUUAAGCAAGAUCACAUUCAGAUAGUCUUACCAGUAUUGCCCUGUCUGUUUCAGAAAUAGAUAUAUUGCUUCCAUUUCUACAUUUACUAGUAGCUUCUGUUUAUUUUGUUUUUAAUGUAAUUUUCCUAUCUUGCUAUUCUGUAUCCCUCCUGAUAAUAAAGUUGGCCAUGCAAUCACAAAAUUCUAGAACAAAAACAAAAUAUUACUCACUUAAACAUUAACUAAUACUAAGUUUACAAGAAAUGUACCAACGCAUUUUCUUAUUACUGAGUUCUGUUCACUUGUCCUGAUGUCUAGCUUGAAUUAUUUGAGUAAAUUCCUAAGAAGGGGAGGUUGACUGACAGAUUCUUACGGCUAAACAGUAAGCUUUUAAUGUUUCUUUGUUGUAUUUUUGUUUAUUUGAUGUAAUGUGUCCACCUGUGAACUAGUAGUUAAUUAGCCACCUGCUCCUUUUAAUUUCUGUUGUCAAUUAUAUACUCAUUUUUAAACUAGUAGACUCCAAUACCUCAACCAAUAAACUUAACAAACAUUGUAGUAUGUAGCUUAACAUAUCUUAGAAACUAGUUUGCUAUAGAGAAUUGUCCAAUACUGAUCCCCACAUUAUCCGAUACCUCUUUUCUUAUUUAUUAUUUUCCUGUAAGAUCUCCAAUGAGCUCUUUCCUUAAAAUUCAGUUAUGCUUAUUAGUUUUUGAAACGUAUAUAAUAACCCUACAUCUUUUACAACUUAAACAGUUGUCUUUAUUUUAUAAAAGCUCCAGAUGUCCAUUAUAUAUCAGCUAAUCAUCUUUUUGUGUUAUAUUGUCCUUGCUGACCCUAUCUUUGGCACUCAGGGUUUUAUUUUUUACAAACAUGUAACACUAUAAUGACUACUUGUUCCUCAAAUUAUUUGACACUAACCUCAACUUGUUUUUAGUUAGCAUAACAAAAUGCAUCUUUCCAUUAGCUUUAGUUGUGAGCCAAAAUUGAUUAUCUAGCUUCUUGUGCCCUUCCAUAAACUUAACUGCUAUGACUUAUAGGUAGCUUUUUGCAAGUGUAUACUUCAUUUUGCAUGAAAUCUUUAGUCAGAGAACCGCCGAAUUUCUAGAUUCUUACUACAAAUUUAAGUACUUUUGCCAAAAAAUAUAACUUACAAGCUUAUCUCAUUUUCUUACCUUUGAUUGUGUUUGUUUUGUUUCUUUUUUUGGCCCUUUGGUGGAAGAAUUUUGUAUUCUGGUCCCCUUCCUUCAGCCAUAAGAUUCUCGACCUUUGCUUCCAAAAGAUUUCCUCCUUGAGUAGCAAAUCAGUUAAUUUAUUCUACAUGUUUUUUAGCUCCCUGCUUCUAUCUAUCCGGUCCUGUGAAUUAUGAAGCCUAUUGAUGUGUUGAUGAGUUUCUUUAAUAUCUUUAUCAAGAGAACCAAAUUUGGACUGAUUCCAAGAUGCCAGGUUAGAAGAGCACAGCUCAAUAUUACUAAUGAUUGAGAGCAAUGCUGAUUGAUUCGUGGACCUCAAAUUUGAUGUUAUGAUAUCCCUACAUUCUGGUUCCCCGAUCCACAUGUUCUCGAACCUGAAUCUGGACCGUUUUCUUUUAUUAUGAGCAGCAAGUCCUGGUGCAUCUUGUAAGCAAAGAUAGAGGGCUCUAUGAUCUGAACGGAAGAAUUCAAGGUGGGUUAGGGAGCUAUUUGGGAAAUAAUCUAUCCAUGACUCAUUCGCCAUCGCGCAGUCAAGUCUUUCUUUGAUGGUGCCUUCUGUAUUUUUGAACCAUGUGUAUCUAUUGCCUCGAUAGUCCAAUGGCUUUAACCGACAGACUUCCAUUGUAAUGCGAAAAUCUUCAAUUUGUGAAUCAUUUCUUAGUACACCCCCUACUUUAUCUUCUUGGCUUAAUAUUUCAUUGAAGUCUCCCAUUACCAACCCUGGUCCAUUAUGUACAAUCCUUAACUUUUGUAGUAAUUCCCAUGUAUAGCGUCUGUUCGAAACGUUUGGUUCUCCGUAAAAGCCACAAAAAUGCCAGGAUCUUGGUUGGUUUUCCCACCUUAUGAAACAGCUAAAGUGAUUUGUUGAUGAUGUCAAAUGGGAAACUUCCACCAUUUCUUUCCACAGAAUCAUAAUUCCUCCCCCAAGUCCAACAUAGGUUAUAUACCUAUGUUGGCUUGUUAUAAUAUAGUAUAGAUAUUGGAAACCCUGGCUCGAAGCUCAAAGCUCAGAAGUAAAGAAAAUUGUCCAUCUAUACACUCGCAAACACAUGAGUAGCUCAAGGGAAGAGUUAAACCAAACCUCCUUGUACAGCCUCUUUCAACCCCCCAAACCUCCUUGUACUGCCUCUUUCAACCCCCCCACCACCCACUCACCCAACUUCCGGCCAGUCUCCAGCUUUAACUGUCGGUGGCAUUUGUUUGAUAUCUGCAGUGCUCCCUCAGUCUGGAGAUCACGCCAACAACAAAAGCCGAACACAAAGAUGAUGUUUUGGGUUGAUUCGGUGGUGGAAAAUUCAGAAAGAACAGGAACACUAGUUCUUCGCUUACUUUCCUCCCCCUUAAGUAGAAUUCUUGGGGUAAAGUAGGAGAUGAUUUGUCGGUAAUCCUCUCAUGUUUUUCAUUCAUUGGGAAGGAUCAUGUCACUCUGCUGCUGAAUCAAGACUCAAGGUAAAGAAAAACAGGUGUGAUCUUUCCAAAAUAUAAAACUACAUGAUUAUGUGAUUUUUCAUUGAUUUAUGGUAUAUGUGAUUGUGACUUGAUUCAUAUUUCAUUUUUCAUGAUUCGGUAUAAUUGUGGGCUUAAAUCUAUUUUUGUAUGGAUUGGUUUGUAUCCUAAUUCAUCUUUUCAUCCGUUUUAGGGGUCAUUUGGCAAAUCUGAAUUGAAUGAUUAAUAUAUCCGAAUGAUCUGAUUGAAUUAAUCAUCUGAAUUCUGAAUGAAUAAUAUUGUUUGACAAAUAAAAUUUGAAAUAUCUGAAUAAUAUAUCAUAAGUAUGAUAAUUUAUUUUAAUGAAACAAAAUUACAUAAAACCGAAUAAAUAUAUAUAUAUAUAUAUAUAUAUAUAUAUAUUUUUUAGAUAUAUAUAUAUAUAUAUAUAUAUAUAUAUAUAUAUAUAUAUAUAUAUCACUUGAUUUCAUAUAAGAUAUAAAGUUAAUUAAACAUAAAUUAAAAAUUAUUAUAUACAUAAAUAUUCGAAAGAAUUAUAUAACUAGAAUUUACCUAUUAAUAACUAUUAUAUUAUUUUCAGACUAAUUCAUUAAUAAAAAAAUUAUGAUAAACUUAUUACAUAUGUAACAAACUACAAAAAUAUUCACGUUUUAUAAAAUUUGUGUGGGAAUUUCAACACACACCACCACUAACUGUAGUAACAGCAAACACCAGGGUAGGAGGCUGAACCAUUCUUUUACGUAUUUUUGAAUGAUUGAUUCAGCAGCUUAUGAACAGUUCAGCAGAAAAAAUAUGUGGGCCAAACAAUCUUAAUCAGCUGAAUCGGUAAGAUGGAGCUUGUUCAGCUGUAUUAAGUCAAAAACAAAUAGGCCCUUAGUCCGAUUUUGAAGAGUUUUGGAUAUGUGUUUUUAAUCUUAUAUUAUAUGAUCAGUUAUUUUUUAUGUGUUCUAUAUCUUUUUUUGAUUCUUUGUUUCGCUAGUGUUCAUGAUAAAUGUUUGCCGUUCUUGGAUGGUGGUGGCGGAGAUGGUGACUUAAUUAGUGGGCGUGGUGUAAUUAGAUUAUUCUGAUUAACUAAUUUUAUUGCUUGUUUUUAGUUUUAGUUUUGUAACUAGCAUUAGUUCUCGUGCAAGGCACGAGCCUCGUAUGAAAACUCGUAAUUGAAUUAGUAAAUUAUGAUUAUAUUAUUAAUUUUAGAAAAUGUAUAAUAUUUAUAAAUUGUUAGUAGUUCCUUGCACAAAUGAAGUACAAUUCUAACUUGAUAAAUGAUAAAUCCCUCCGCAUAACUGCCACUACAAUAGUACAAUUAUUCUUCAAAAUAGAUAAUGAACCAAUGAUAUAUAUGAUAUUUGAAAGAGAAGUGGUGAUUUUUUAAUCAUAGGGGUUGUUUGGCUGAUCUUAAAAUAAGUGCUUCUUUCUUAAAAUAAAAAAGUGGAGUAGAAGUUAGAAGCAAAUUACGACUUAUAAGUGAUUAAAGUGUUUGGGAAAUAAGUAGAAGUCCUGAAACAAAAGCUAGCAUUCCUAGCUUUUUUUAAAUGCUUCUUGACUUUUUACACAAACAGUACGAAUAAGUGCUUCUAACUUAUAAACCCAGAAGCUGGGCUUUUAAGCCGUACAUAAACACCCACAUAGACAGAAACCCUUUCAAUGUAAAUUGCUUUUAGUUUUUUUUUUCUUUUUAGAAAUGAAGGUAUGUUGGUACAAGUGAUCAACACACAAAAAAAAAUACUGCACUGGCCGUUAGAAAUAUCGACAAUCCCAUCUUUAGAUAUUAUUACUCCAUCUUUAACCUGAGAAGCUCGAAUAAAAAGAAUAACACCUAGACUUGGUGGACAAACAAUGAGACAAAAUAUACUUAAAAACAAAACAGGAUCAAUCACUUUCUUCUGUCAAUGUUUGGUUUCAAUUAGUGUCCGGGCUCGCUUCUCUUCUGUCGUACAUUAGCAGUUUAGCACAAUAUAUAUUUCUUUUAAUAUUAGUCUAAACUAAUUGCAGGAAGAAAGGAAGAAAUCCAUAUGAAGUUAUAUGCAAUUUAAUGUGACAAUAUUCACUUUCUAGUUAAUUAAAAGAGACUACUACCACACACUCCCCCGAUUUAUUAAUCUCAUAAAAAUGGACCAAAAAGUAAAUAAAAUAUAAUAAAUGAAAAGGUUUUAGACAAAAUAUUAUGUUAGUUUUGAGCUUAAUUUUUUGAGAUUAUAAUUAAAAAGAACAAACAUGACACUAUAAUAAACGGUGGAACUCAUAAAUAUCAAGCUUCGCAGCAUUUGCACGAUCACCCAUGAGCUUCAAAGGCUUUGCAUAUAAUAUGUUAUCUUGCACAAUUUUCGCAAGCUCUGGAGAAUGCCAACCAUACCAUUCCCGAACUUGUAAAGCAUAGGUGUUAAGCUCUUCAUCAAGAGCAUCCAAUAAACCAAUUGCUUGUAUGAUCACUGUAUCUACCUGGUGGGGUUUGAAUAAGACAAGAAAAUUAAGUAUAGUGACGUAGACAACAAAAUGUAUUUUAUAUUGCAAGCCACUUGGUCUUUUUAUUUUAAUAUUAUUGCAAACAAACACGUACACGUAUAAUGAUCCAAAGUAUAUGCAACUGGUGAUAAAAAAAAUCGUCCCACAACAAAUAUUUACCAAAUAGAAUAUGACUCUGAUAUAGAAGACAUAAUUAUGUACAAGCUACAAAACUGAUAUAUCACUGUAAUUUUAACAAAAAUCGACCAUCACAAUGAGCUCUGAGAGCAUUAAAUGCAGAGACGGGCCAAGAUCAAGAAAUUCUUUCGAUUCCUUAUAUACACUAAUAUUAAAAUUUUAUAAGCAACAAUUAAAGAGGUAAAGGUGGAGAAAACCUUAUAAAAAAAGAUAAAAUCAAGUGUAAAAUUGUAUAGCGGUAUAUCAGCCUGUAAGUAACAAAACAAAGCAUAUAUUUUAUAAAAUUAUUAGAGUACCAGGUUAUUUGAAGCAGGCCUUUAUGACCAUUAUAAGCAUCUUCGAGUUUCGAAACUUGCACUCUCAUCCCCUGAACAGAGUAAAAGAAAAAAAAAACUAAAGGUGUAAAUGAUGAGAGCAUAUUUAACAACAAAUUUAGUAUUUAUUCUCCACAAGCAAUCUAUCAAUAAAAUGCCAAACUUGCACAAAGUAAUAAAAUAUAUAUCUAUAGACACUAUCUGCAAAAAAACCUGCACCUCUGAAAUCAUUAGAAACCUGUUGGGUGAAUUAUGAAAAUGGGUGCUUACAAAAUCACCAGAUUGUUGCGUUACUCAAAGUAGAAAAAGCACCGGCAGUACCACUGUGAUAAUAGUUUCCAACAGAAUCAGACCUUAAUGGUCUGCCCUCCAAUGUGUAACCAUGCAUUAACUGAAUGCAACGAACUGCUUCUUACCUUUGAAUAAGUAAUAUAUCUCUAAAAAUAAAGGUUGAUAAUCUACCGUUAAUAUACAUCUCAUAUGUGACUUCUAAUAACUUUAACUUCAGACAUGUAUAAGAACCAGAAUGCACUUAUCCACGACAGUCAUUGCCCAAAUUUAAACCUAAAAGCAUGUUGCUUGGCUUCAAACUUUUGCAAGAUUAAAUUAAACGAUUUAAUAUUUAGGCAAUCUAUUAGACACACAAUUAUACAAAAAAUAUUGCUAUAUGUUGGCCUAAUUAUGCUUGCAAUCUUAAAAGUUAUUUCAAUCUUUGAGAUUUACAUUUAUCAAUCUCCUGUUUUAGUUCUAACUGCAGGAGGAAACGUCCCAACCUCUCUUUUUCUGUUAAUUUAAGAAUUUCACUUUCUUUCUUUUUUCUCUGUCGCUCUUAUCUCAUGUCUUCUCUAGACUUUUCGAUUUGAACUUUAAGACUAAACAAUUUCUCCUCCAAAAUUAUUUUUUCCUUUUCCUUCUCCAUUUUUUUCUCCUCAACUCUAAGAGAUUUCUCCUUUUCCCUUAAGUCAGUAACCUUAGAUUCAAAAUUCUUCUCUCUUUCCUUUAAUCUGGAAUUUUAUUUGACAUUUUAGAAUAUUCAAAAAAAAAACAAAGAUAAUCAUAAUAUAAUAAUAUAACCUGAGUUUUUAUACAUGGCCCGUGCCAGUUGUUUUUCAGCACUACUCACCUGCCUGCCUAUGUCAUCUUCCACGCAACUUUCUCAGGUUUUUACUUGGUAUGGAGCCACUGGAGAAAUGGAUGGUCUUACUGAAACUUAUUACACCACAGAUGAGGUAUAACAUGAAUUGUUUUAAAGGCAGCCUGCAAAGUUUUAAUCAGCAACAUUCAUUUUAUUAGAUAUAAAAUAAGAAGUCUUCACUCUAAAAGCAGGAAUUGCUUUUACUCAGCAGCGGCUUCUAAUGUGUUUGCGUGUAAACUUAUAUCUAAUUGUGCUCUAAAGAGAGACAACAUCAAAUGAGGGCCAAGCCUCGACUCUUUGCUCAGAUAGACCAGAACAUAUCUACACAUAUUUAGAACAUAUAAAUAUUUAUUCAGAAAAACAUCUAAACAUCAAUAUAUCAUUGUUAAAUAAUAUUCUAACUCACUUAAUUUAUGAGGUGCACAACCCAAUGUGUUGAUUGAUAUUUUCUAAAUUCUUAACAGAAGAAAGCAUUUUCAGUUUUGCAACAGGUAAAUAUUAUUCAAUAUCCAAUUUUUUAUUAACUAAUAUACCAGCAACAACAUAUCAUACUUAGAACACUUUGAUUUCAAUCCAUAUGUUUUGUCAUUUCCAUUUUAAAUUCCCCACCGAGUUGCAGACAAAGAGAGCGGCUCAACGAAAGAGCUCCUUCUGUCCAAUCUUUACCUAGUGCUACUGGUAAAUCUACAUAUAUCUGAAUUCUUGCAAAAUUCAGACUUCUUCAUGCCUGAUCAUCUGCAUUACUUUGCAUAAUGAUAUAGAAUGAUGUGAUUUAUCGGCAACACAAGUGUUCAUGCCAUGGUAAUAGGGAAUAAGUAAUGUAAGUUCCUAACUUUGUAUUCAUGCUCCAAAUUAGCUAUCUAGCUGUUGCUGCAUAUGACUGCUGUACAAUUGGCACAUUGCACACAAAAGCCUAACCCAUAACGUGCAUUCCGCAGUCUGAUCAAGUCAAACCUCAUCCCUAAGUAUAUGUAUACAGUUGUAACAAUAGUAACAGGAAAACAGAUAGAUAGACUUUGACGUAGUUUAAACUUAUCCAUGUAUCAGGCUAUGUACCUAUAUAUACCCUCAUGCUACUAAUGAAUAUAAUCAAGCCUUUCACACUGAAAUCUCAGUUGGUAAAAUCGUGUUAUGGUAUCAGAGCCAUUAUCGGUUUAACAACCACUAGAUCCGCAAACAAACAAUCUUUACAUUCUGAACCAUCUUAAUCUCAAACAAUUUUUCAAUGGCUUCCUCAACCCAAACUGUUACCUCAGACACAGAAAUCAUUCAUCUCAAUGCCCCUACACAUUUACCAACCAAAUUAACUCAAAACAAUUUCCCUGUAUGGAGCACACAGGUGAAAUCAACUCUAAUUGGUCUUGGAGUUAUAAGCUACAUCGAUGGGACAGUCAAAAUUCCGGCGCAAUUUUUAAAAGAUAAUGUACCCAAUCCUGCCUUUGUGGUAUGGAACAGACAAGAUAAAAUCAUUUUGAGUGCACUCCUAGGAAGUUGCCAUGAGACCAUACAACCACUUGUUUCAACUGCUCUCUCUGCCAAAGAAAUGUGGGAGCGAAUUGUUAUCAUGUUCGCAAACAAAUCAAGGUCACGAGUAAUGUCUCUCAAAAGUCAUCUCCUUUCAAACCCAUGUGGCUCCAGGCCCAUCUCAGAGUAUCUCAGAGAUAUACGCACAACAGCUGAUGAACUUGCCAUUGCAGGUCAUCCAAUGGCGGAUGACGAUCUCGUACUAUUGACUCUAAAUGGUCUCAGUGAUGAAUACAGUAACAUUCGAUCAGCCAUCAAAGUACGUGAGGCACCUAUGACAUUUGCUGCUCUUCACGAACAACUUGUUGACCAUGAACGAGGCCUGAAAAAUAAAGUUCUCGAGCCUACUGUUGUGACUGCAAACUUCACACAGAAAGUUAAUCAUAAUUCACGAGGUAUGUAUUCAAACUCAUCAUUUACUCCUCGUACAAAUUCAUCUUGGAAUCAAUCAUCUCCAGGACGCCCUUAUGGCUCCCACUCUGGCCGAAACAAUCAGCAAUAUUUCAACAAGCAGACUCAGUCCUAUAUCAAAAAUAACCGUCCCUAUUGUCAAUUUUGUCAACGCCAAGGACAUGCCACCAAAGAGUGCCGACAACUAGCUCGUUUUUUGAAGGACAAUGAUAUCCAGAAUCCAACACCUGCAGUUAAUAACACCAUGCUUCAACCAAAUCAGAAACAACCAUGGUUGUUUGAUACAGGCGCUUCACAUCAUAUCACGAAUGACCCAACUAAUUACACCUCUUUUUCAGAUUAUGGAGGUCCAGAAGAAGUUUUGAUCGGCAAUGGUUCAGGUCUUCCAAUAACACACACAGGAACCUCUCAUUUAAAUUCUGAUGCAAAAAAAUUUAUAUUAAAUGAUGUUUUAUAUGUUCCUUCUUUAAAUAAAAAUCUUAUCUCGAUGGCAAAAUUCUGCAACACUAACAAUGUUUCAAUUGAAUUUUUUCCCUUAUAGUUUCAGGUCAAGGACCUCAAAACGGGAGUGGUACUACUGCGCGGGGAGAAUUACAAUGAUGUCUAUUAUGCUCAUUCUAUUCCACAAAAUCUCAUAUCUCCUCAAAUAAAUGUCACCAACUCCACGUUGAUUGAAUCUUGGCACAAUCGGCUGGGCCACCCAGCUUUUCCUGUUANGUCUAUUAUGCUCAUUCUAUUCCACAAAAUCUCAUGUCUCCUCAAAUAAAUGUCACCAACUCCACGUUGAUUGAAUCUUGGCACAAUCGGCUGGGCCACCCAGCUUUCCCUGUUCUGAGGCAUUUGCUUCUAUCAAAUAAUUUAGUUAGUUCUAUUCCAUCUGAUUCACUGUUUUCAUGUAAUGCCUGCAACUGUAAUAAAAGUCAUAAACAACCUUUUUGUGUUUCAUCAAUGACAAGUUCUCGCCCUUUAGAAUUGAUAUAUACUGAUGUUUGGGGCCUUGCUGUCACUUCCAUUGAUAAAUUUAGAUAUUAUCUCUUAUUUGUUGAUCACUACACCAAAUACAUAUGGCUUUAUCCUAUAAAACAAAAAUCAGAUGUGCACCAUGUCUUUAUUCAGUUCAAACAGGUUGUGGAAAAAUUCUUUAAUUUAUCCAUUAAAUCCAUUUUUUCAGAUAAUGGUGGCGAAUUUGUCGCACUUGCUUCUUUUCUGAAUUCUCAAGGCAUCUCACAUUUUACUACUCCUCCACACACUCCUGAACACAAUGGCAUGGCUGAACGUUGUCAUGGUCAUAUUGUCCAGACAGGUCUCACUUUUUUACAUCAGGCAUCACUACCUUUAACUUUCUGGUCUCAUGCUUUCCAAGCGGCAACAUAUAUCAUCAAUCGUGUGCCAUCCAGAACCAAUCGGUAUUACACCCCGUUUGAGUCACUCUUUGGUAAAUCACCAAAUUACUCACGGUUAAAGAUUUUCGGUUGUCUUUGUUAUCCAUGGCUUCGUCCAUACAAUAACUCGAAACUACAACCUAAAUCUGUGCCAUGUAUUUUCUUAGGAUACUCUCCUUCUAAGUCCUCCUACAAGUGCCUUGAUCUCAAUCAUAAUCGUCUGUAUCACUCACGGCAUGUUCAUUUUGUGGAGUCCCAAUUUCCCAUGCAUAAUAAGACGCGUGAUUCUGUUCUCCCAGUUGUGCCAGACUCGUACUAUCCUCCUUUGAACUCCACCGUUGCUACUACACCACCUUUAACUACCACUAUUUUACCUCAAUCACAAACCACUCAAACUGCUUCCUUUACAGAAGCCCCACCUGCUUCACAUGAAGGUCCCACGUCUUCAUCCUCUAGUCAAAUAAAUUCACCCAUUGUAUCUUCACCUCCCACGGCUUCAUCACAAAUUGAGUCUACUUCAGUAUCUCAUCCACCUUCACCCUCUCUCAAUCUACUGCCGGAACCUCGUUCUAGACGUCCCAAUCCAAAAUACUUUAACUCACAAUUCAUAAAUCAUACCACCCUUCAUCCCAUUUCUCCUUCAUCAGAGCCUAAAUCAGUAUCACAAGCUUUAAAGGAUCCUCACUGGCGCGAAGCAAUGUCCCUUGAAUUUGAUGCUCUCACUAAAAAUGGCACUUGGGACUUGGUGCCAAAAUCAAAUCAGCCAACAAUAGCGUGUAAGUGGGUUUUUCGGAUUAAAAGAAAUCCAGAUGGGUCUGUUAAUAAAUAUAAGGCGCGCCUUGUUGCAAAAGGCUUUCAACAGCGUCCGGGUGUUGAUUAUUCAGAAACUUUUAGCCCGGUCACCAAGCCAGCAACAAUUCGGAUUGUGUUAAGUAUUGCUCUUUCUCGUGGCUGGCCAACUCGUCAACUGGACAUUAACAACGCAUUCCUUAACGGGCACCUGAAUGAUGAGGUAUACAUGGUCCAACCUCCUGGCUUCUUGCACCCUUCAUAUCCACAUCAUAUUUGCAGACUUCGCAGAACUAUCUAUGGUUUAAAACAGGCAUCUCAUGAAUGGUAUAAAGCUCUUAAAACCUUUCUGCUUGAGUAUGGUUUUAAAAGUUCUGUUGCUGAUUCUGCAUUAUUUAUCUAUCACUCAGCGGGCAUUAUUAUUUAUUUUAUGGUUUAUGUGGAUGAUAUUGUGCUUACUGGGAACAAUGUGCCGUCUGUUAAUAAGUUUGUUGCAUGUUUGAAUCAAAAAUUCUCUUUGAAAGAUUUUGGACCACUGCAUCAUUUUUUGGGAGUUGAAGUUAUUCCCACCAAUUCAGGUCUAUUCUUGUCUCAAGCUAAACAUAUUUCUGAUUUAUUAUCGCAACAUCAUUUAGAUGGUGCCAAAGAGAUGAUUACGCCUAUGUCAGCUACAUCAAAUUUAGUGCUUCAUGAUGGCUCUCAAUCUAUUGAUCCUACUCCAUAUCACAAGCUUGUUGGAGGGCUACAAUACUUAUCAAUCACUCGUUCGGAUGUGUCUUUCGCAGUUAAUAAAUUAUCUCAAUUUAUUCAUGCUCCUACUGAAAACCAAUGGGUUGCUCUUAAACGCAUCCUGCGAUACCUCAAAGGGACAAUUCAUUAUGGUCUGUUCUUGCGCAAAAAUUCUCCGCUACAAUUAUCUGCUUUUAGCGAUUCAGAUUGGGGUGGAGAAAGAGACACUGGACGUUCCACUACAGGUUAUGUUGUGUACUUGGGUUCCAAUCCAGUUUCAUGGAAAUCAUCUAAACAAAAAUCUAUUUCGAGGUCUUCUUCAGAGGCGGAAUACAAGGCCGUCGCUAAUGCAGUAGCUGAACUCAUUUGGCUUAAAAAUCUAUUAUUUGAGUUACAUAUUCCUGCUUCAUCUCCGCCUACCAUCUACUGUGAUAAUACAGGGGCAACAUAUUUGAGGUCCAAUCCUGUAUUUCACUCGCGCAUGAAGCACAUCUCCUUGGAUUAUCAUUUUGUGCGUGAACAAGUAGCUGCUGGAUCUCUUCGUGUUGCACAUGUUCACUCUAAGGAUCAAUUUGCUGACAUUCUUACGAAACCUCUCUCUCGACAAAGUUUUCUUCAUCUUCGGACCAAGCUGGGAGCCUCCAUCUUGAGGGGGCGUAACGUGCAUUCCGCAGUCUGAUCAAGUCAAACCUCAUCCCUAAGUAUAUGUAUACAGUUGUAAUAAUAGUAACAGGAAAAUAGAUAGAUAGACUUUGACGUAGUUUAAACUUAUCCAUGUAUCAAGCUAUGUACCUAUAUAUACCCUCAUGCUACUAAUUAAUAUAAUCAAGCCUUUCACACUGAAAUCUCAGUUGGUCAAAUCGUGUUAACCCACACAGAAAACGAAGAAAAAAUCUAUACAUCUAGCGCUGACAGCAGAACACAUAAAGGUUAAAACCACACAAAAUGAGCACUCAACAGAUCCUAAAGAAUGAGCUAGGCACAUCUAAAUAAAUACAUGGAAAUGAAGGACAGAUGAAAACCAGAACGGUGGAGACUUGCAUACCUUAAAACCGGCCCCAAUAACACACAAAUUCUAUCAGGACCAAAGCCAAACAGUUUGAGUGGCCUAGAAUACACUCACACUUGCGCCCGAAGACAGUAGGCUGAAGUGGAGGGGAUGCACCGAGGGCCCUUCCAACCAACACAAAGAAGCUGGCGCGAAAUCAGAACGAAGCUGAAGCCAGACUAGAGCCCAAAUGAAGCGGGGAACAAAGCAGCCAGCACUUAUGACUGCACUCUGCGCCUUGAACUUUGGACGGGAUCGCGGCUGAAACGCAUGGGAUAAUCCCCAGGCUGCGUAAAGGAACACUCAAAUCAGUGAGGCUGCAUUCUGAAAUUAGAUAAAUCCGCUCCUCUUGAUCAACACGGAAGCAGUGCUUUAGGCGGAAUAUGGAAGGAGCCGAACAUGGACGGACAGAAAUGACCGCCGGCUGUGAUAGCAAGGCCAGGAGUCAGGCUCGGAAGGGCAAGAUGACGAAAAGCCUUGCUUUGGUACUAUAUCAAGCGUUGCUCGGAAGGGCUAAACAGUCUUUUCACGCUGAAUUAAUUUGCUCAGAAAAAAAAGCCUGUUCUCGUAUAAUAGAUAUAGUAGAUUUUGAAUAUUGUUUGGUUUAAAUAGAUCAUAAUUUUAGUUAGUUUUUGAAUGAUAAGUUGACUUAUUUAAAUUCAUUUAUAUGUGUAAUUUGACUUUUCUCUUAGUGAUAUGAUUUGAAUUUUUGUGUCCUCAUUAAAGAUUAAUUGAUAGCGUUAAUUAUUGUACCUGAAUUUCAUUAUUCAUGGAAGCCAUAAAAGAUGGCUUUAUCGUGCCUUAACGAGGUAUUAGUGCGCUAUUAAUGGCUGUUUGUUUUAUUGGUGUAUACCAAAUAUAUAUUGUGCUGAUAAUGAUUUUGAGCUAAAAUCGUGUUUCAUGACAAGAUUUUUGUCAUUUAUUUGAAUAGAUAUAUCUUAGUUAUGUUUUAAUUUCAAUUUUAUUUUCUUAUUUAUAUUUUAAAUAUGAAUUAUUAUAUUCAUCAAUUAUUUUCUGAUGGGAUUUAUAUUUUAAAUUAUAUUAUUUUCUUAGGUAUCUAGCCAAAGAGAUCUCAUUGUCUCUUUGGUGUAGAUUUUUUGUUUUGUUUUAUAUAGACUUUCAUUUUAUUUUUCCCAAUUCUUUAGAAUUAUAUUAUUUUCUUAUCCUUUUCUAAAUUAUGAGUUUGUUUGACUCUUUCCAUUAUCGUUUUUAAGAAUUUUAUUAUUGUAUGUAUGAGUUUAUUAUGUUCUUUUAUAUUGUUGUAUUUUUUCAGGGUAUGCGAGUGGAAGAAAGGAUGGUAGCGGAACUUUUAUGGGUGUUUUUUUUAUCAAACAUUAAAGUUUUAUUGUCUAAGUAUUAUAUAUUUAAUAGAAUUAAACUCGAUCUAACAAUCAUAUUUCGAGUUUUUGUCAAUAUAUGGUGACUCGAUUCAAGCUUUUGAGCCGAACUCGAGUCUAUCCAACUGUUAACGAGCCGAGUUUCGAGCUUGAAAAUAAAGGCUCGUUCGAACUCGAGCCGAGCCUGAUAGUGUUAGACUCGACUCGGCUCGAUUACACGCCUAUGCUUGAUCAAUAAUUUUAUAUCAUGCCUUCAUCCAAUGUGCCAAUCUGUUGGGUGAAAAUUGAAAUUCUAAGACCGUGGCCUGUUUGGAAGUCAGAGGUUUGAGGUUUGAGAUAAAGUUAGAGGUUUGGGGUGGACUAGAGAUUCGACCAUUUCAAUCAGCUAAUACUAGUGUUUGUUACUUAGCGGAUUGAAAAAGAGGUUGUGGCUCAAAAAGCUAAUUUUCAAAAAGUUACUUUGACGAGUUGUUUAGGUUAGAGGUUUUGGUACGUGUCACAAUAAGCUAAUCAAACAGUUAAUUACCAAACAAUAUACAAUAAACUGCUAACUUAAUCCGCUAAUCAAAACAUCUAUUUCAAUCGGCUAGUCAAAACAUCUAAUUCAAUCCGCUAACAGCUAACCGCUAUAUUCCAAACCGGACCAGUGUCUUACUUACUGGCUAGGCUCGUUUUCGUGUUGUCAGCAAGAAUUAGCAGCCUGCUCAUCCAUCAUUAGUAUAAAACCAUUGCUACCUUUUGAUCGUUCACUUACACCUGUGACCAAAAAGUUUUAAAUCCAACCUCUGUCUCCCAGUCUAGCUUCAGUCCACACUAUAUAAUCAGCCAAGUUAAAUAUUCCGUUUUUAUGUAUGUAUAUUGCAGCUAUUGUCAAGCACAACUGAUAAUUUAUCAAUACCCGCAAACGAAAAUAUGUUUUUGGAAUCAUAGAUACUUCUUGUUGUUUUCUCCUCUCACCAGAAAAAAUCAUCACUCUACCUAAAUAUAACUAUAAAAGUCUUCUUUACUUUUAUAUCAAUGUUUUCCACCCAACCUGAUUCACCGGAUUGAGUUUUCUUUCUUUUAGACACCCACAAUGCCGGCAAGAUUCAUAUCGCAAUGGUGAUAAAGAAUGGGCUACUAAAGAAUUUAAAAUACCUUUACUAACUUUGUGCCUUGUUCUUGUGAUCUUGUAUACCUCCGUGGAAUGUUGUUUAUUGUCUCUCCUUAAGAGUUAAGGACACCUACCUUCCUAUAAUGUGUAAAUGGGGAUUUCAAGUUUGAAUUUUUGCUUUUAGGUAAGCUUCUUGUUUUGAAUUUCCAUGCAUCGAGAAUCCUGAAAGUGCUAGAAUUGAAAUGAAAAGUUGAUGAUACUAAAUUUAGACUCACAUGCAGAAACGAAUGUCACUUUACCAGGCAAACAAUACAUAAAAAGAUAAAAUUGGUCAUACAAGUUUUGUAUUCAGUAAGCACCUUGGGCGAUAAAGCACUAUCUGUUAGCGGCCAAAACUUCGAAGUCGCAACAAUGGACAAAAUGGAUAUGAAGAAUAGUGGAGUUUUAUAAGCAAGAUAUAUAAUUUAUUUAAUCACCGGUGCCUUAUUUACUCCACAGCAGAUGGUGAAUUGGUUUAAUUCAAGUCAGAUUAAUUCAACCUUAUUGAAGGAUGAUGGAGGUGCUUACUUGAAUACAAGAACAAUUAAGACACUACAUUUUCAGAUACAAAUAAGUUGAUUUUUUAUUAGAACCUCCUAUCCGUAUUUGCUCCUCCUCAGACACUAAGGUAGACUAUCGAGUUUUCUUAUAAAUCAAGUUAACUACCAUUAUCUUUCACUGCUAAGGUUGCAUCACUCUUGUUGUCCAUUGUUAAGUUGGUGUUUUUUGCAAAUACAUAUGUUGGUAGAAUGGUAGGCUACAUCGAUUUAUGUUGCAAAAUAUGUAAUUAUUUCAACAGCUCGGGUACAAAUAAUUCAAAUAUGGAGCCUGGAUCUAGCAAGGCAUCACCGGCAUCACCUAUUCUCCCCAGUCCCUAGACCAUGGAAGCUGACUUAUCAAUCUAAGUAGGUUCAUGUCUAAAAUUGAUGUCCGCAGACCGUAACCUACACUACUCCAAGAAGCAGCGACGCUAUUCAUAGUGAUGAUCUCAACUUACUCAAGAAUCAAAAGACAAAACCUCACAUACCAAAGAAAAUGUGAAUGGAAAAUGUGCGCAGCAUAUACAUGACAUUCUCUAACUACUGGUGACAGAAUUCAACAUCGAUAUAGAAUUAAUACCCCAAUUAGUUUACUGAAACUGCAAUAAUCCAAGUAGGAUAAGCUUAAAUGAACAACAAUAUCAAUAACUUAAACUAUUUAUUUAGAUUGAGAAUCUGGUUUCUUGAAUUUGGGCAAACGCAGAACAGCUUCUUCAGUCUCUGUUGGGUCUGACCUCAAUAUCUACACAAUUUAUUAAAAACAGUCUUUUAUCUAAAAGGGUAUAUGUUAUAUAAACAUGCGUAUAAAUUGAAAGAUAUUGGGGGAGGGAGAGAGAUAGAGAGAGGGAGGGAGUACCGGGUCUUGGAGAAACGGUUUUGUAUCAUCUUUAGCAGGUCUAAAAGGGGGCUUCGUCUUCGCAGCCUUCAUUUCAUUCUCGCUGCAUUUCAUGGGACCUUCUGAAGCUUUCAUCUUCUCUAUCGAUUUUAAAUUAAACAGGGGUUUCUUAAUAACGUGUUGAACUGUAAUUACGUAAUUGGGACUGACAACAGGGCCUAAAAAUUACUCCGUCCGGCUUUCCGGUGAUUCAUUUUUACUUCAAGGCCCGCUUCCGAGUUAUAAUGCGGAGGAAAGGAAGUAAACAAGUAAAGUUACUGCCCGUCUGUGCUCCCGAAUUUUUUAAAAGAAGAAAAAAAAAGUGAAAAUGAAUAUAUUGUAACAUAUUUUCACUUCAAAAAUGAGAUAGAGUUUUGACUUGCUUUCUUUCCUAGAAAACUCUGGAGCAGAGCGUGUAUCGUGAUAUUAAAAGAUUAAAUAAUUGGAGCUCACUUUUCUCAUUAAUCUUAAUAUCAUUUCAAUCGUAAAUUCACAAAAAUAUUAAUCAAUUAUUAAUGAAGUACUUUUAAAUUUUAGUUUAAGAGUAAAAAUAUAUUUUAUUAAGUUUAACACAUUAAUUUUAAUAUUAUCAAGAUCAAGUAAAAUAUUAUGACUUUUAGUAUUUAUAAAAUAUAUUUAGAUUUUUUAAAUUUUAUCUAUUAUUUAUGAUAACAUUUCAGGAAGUUUGGUUCGAUUUAAAAUAUAAUAAGAUCAUGUGGAUGAUGUUGACGAAAUUAUGUUGUUGAACCCACGAAGAAUUAAAAACGUUACGACCUCAUUUCAAUUUAUUUCAUAUUUAAAUUUUAAGCUAAAUGUAUGCAUUUUAAGUUUGUGUUAUUCCAAGGGAUCGUUUGGUUUACCUUAAAAGAAGUGACUUCUUGGUUAAACUAGUGUAGUAGAAGUGAGAAGUAAAUAAGUUAAUAAAGUGUUUGGAAAAAAAGUAGAAGAUGUGAGAGAGAAGCUAGCAUUCUCAGCUUUUUAAAAAUGCUUGUACUUAUUUACACAAACGGGUCAAGAGAAGCAGAAGCCAGAAGCCGCUUCUGCUUCUACGAAACAAACAGCCCCUAAAAUUCGAAGUUGGAAGGAUGAAAUCAAAUUGACGUUUUUUCCUAUACUUAUUUAAUAAUAUUAAAUAUAAAUAUUAUUUAUAGAUUAUUAUUUUAUAACAUACAAUUAAUUUAUAAUGAAUUUUAAAUAGAUAAGAUUGUAAUACUCCCUCCGUCCCAUUUUAACUGUUUUUGACUUUUUUACACGUAUUUUAAGAUGUUAAAAAAAUCACAUCUAGACAUAAUUAUUCUUUAUAAAAUUUAUAUCAAAUAAAAGUUUAGAAUCUAAACUUUUAUUUGAUAUAAGAAUUGAAUUUUUUUAUUGAGUAUAGAUAUUGUUUUUUCACACCUCAAUAUACGUGUCAGAAAGUCAAACAUCAGUUAAAAUGGGACAGAGGGAGUAUUUAUUUUAUAUAAAACAUAAAAUUAAUUUAUAUUGAUUUCCAAAUAAAUAAUGUUCCAAUAUUUAUUUCAACAGAAUAUUAAAAACAACACUUAUUAUGUUUAUUUUUUUAAUAAUCGAAUAUUUAAAAAUAAUAAUAAAUACAUGUGUUCGUCCGUCAGAACAAAUCUAACAAUGUCCAAAUCGAUACUUCAUAAAUACAAUAAAAAAUAAUGUCCUAGUAAUUUAGGACAUUUUUUUAAUACAUAAAUUCCAAUAACAUGCCUUAUAUUUAUGUCUUAUUAUUAAACUAAUAAUUUAUUUGAAAUAGUAUUGGAGGGAAGUGAAAAAGUAAGGUGAAAGAGAUAUAUUGAAAUGGUGAGAAGUUAAUAUUCUAUUGAGAAAAUUGGUUUAGGACAUGCUUAGUAGUGCCUAAAAAAUAGGCACUGUCGAAUGUGCUAGUGGUUUAAGUCGAAAAAGUAGGAGGAGAGAGAUGCAUUGAAAACGGUGAGAAGUUAAUACUACUAUUUCAUUGUGAAAAUUGGUUUAGGACAUGCUUAGCCGUGCCUAAAAAAUAGGCACUUGUCGGAUGUUGUGGUUAGGGAUGGGCACGGGGGCACUUCGGGGUCGGGGAGUACUAUCCCCACCCCCGAUCCCCGAAUUCAACACUCAUCCCCGCCCCGCCCCGAACCCCGAACGGGGAUUCUUUUUCUCCCCGAUCCCCGCCCCGAACGGGGAACGGGGAUCCCCGCGGGGAUUCGGGGAAUUUUAGUUUUUAAUAAAAAAUAAUAAUUUUAUAAUAUAUAAUAUAUUUUUUCAAUAAAAAACAAACUACUAACUCAUAGUAUACUAAUAAAAUGAUAUUAUCUCAUAUUUUUAACAUCAAAUCAUAUUAAACUUGAUUUAUAAUAUAAAUAAAUGAUAAUUUUAAUAUUAUUAAAUAUAUUAUAUUACAAUAUAAUAAUAAUCGAUCAAUAAAAAUAAAUAUUAUUUUUUAAAAUUUUAAUAAUAUUAUAAAAGGUAUCUAUUUUUAAUAAUAUAUUUAGUAUAAUAUAUAUAAAUAUAUUAUUAUUUACAUAUAAAUAUAUUAUUAUUUACAUAUAUAUACAAUCGGGGUCGGGGAUCGGGGCGGGGAGACAUAAAUCCCCGAUCCCCGAAUUUUUUAUAAACUUUUCCCCGUUCCCCGCCCCGACCCCGAAAUAUUCCCCGAAUCCCCAACCCGAACGAGGCGGGGAUCGGAUCGGGGUCGAGCGGGGCGGGGUGAAUGCCCAUCCCUAGUUGUGGUGGUUUAAGAGAAACUCCAACAGUGUUUUAGCAUAAUUCUUAAAUAUAUAAUAUAUAAUAAAAUAUAAUACCCUAGUGAUUUAAGACACUAUACACAUACAUCUAUUCCAAUAAUAUGCCUUAUCUUCAUGCCUUAAAAUUAAAAUAUUACUCCCUCCGUCCCCUUUUACUUGUCCUUUUUGAAAAAAUAACGCAUCUUAAUAAAAUGUUAGGUGGAUAUCUUGUUUUCAUACAUAUCCCUAAUAAAUGUAAUGAAUUAGAUAGAGUUGUGUAUAUAUAUAUAUGCUAGUCAAACAUUGAAAGUUGAUACAUUUUGAAAAAACAUACAAAAAGUUGCUUUGAAAAGAGAAGUGAACAGAUAAUUUGGGACAAUUUUUUUUUCAAAAGGGACAUGUAAAAGGGGACGGAGGGAGUAAUAUAUUUGAAUACAACUAUAUAUAAGCCAAGCAUGAAAAGGUGUGAAAAGGGAGAGAAAGUGAAUAUUUUAUGGAUUAAAAUAGUUUUGGAUAAGUGUGGUAGUCCAAGAGUGCCCUAUAUUGAUGUCCUAAAUCAAAAUUUAAGGCACAAGAAGCAAACCAAUGCUCCAACAAUGUCCUAGUGGUGCCUUAAAAUACUAGGACAUAUAAGUAUGCAACAAGUGCCUUAUUUUUGAGGAACCACUGUGCAUGCCCUAUCAAUAAAAAAAUAGUUUCCUACCAUUCCACUACAUCUCUCUCCCCCUCCUUUUCAAUUCACUCCAAUAACAAUUCAAAUAUAUAUUAUUAUUUUAAUAAUAAGGCACAAUAAUGGGGCAUAUUGUUGGAAUUGAUAUAUUAAAAUGAUGUCCUAUAACAGUUAAAUAGGUGUAUUGGAUUGGGAUUUUGAAGCAUUUUUUUCAUUCAUGACAUCUGAGGAUCUUCGAUUGGGAUCGUUUGGAAUCCAUUAAAAUUUUGGGGUAUUCAAUUGAGAUUUUAAAUUAUGCUACAAAAUCUUGUGGUAUUCAAUUAGGAUUUUAAGUUAUACUUUAAAAUCUGAUGGUAUUCAAUUGGGAUUGUUUAAAAUCCAUUAAAAUUUGAUGGUAUUCAAAUGCUGAUGGAUUUUUUUGAUUUCAUAAAAUGAAGGAUUUUUGUGGGAUUAUUCUGUGUAUUUUGAGUUUUUUGAAAUCCCACCAAAAUCUAUGAGAUUUAGAAGCAUUGUGCUGAAUCCUUUUAACUCUGCGACAUUUUAUCAAAAAUCCGCACAAAAUCAAAAUCAUGUACAAUCCAUUAAAAUCUAUAAACUAAAAACUAUUUAUUAAAAUCCUAAUCGAAUAUCCGUAAGAAUAAGGCACAUUAUUGGAGUUGAACCUGGACAAACAUGUCCUAAAUCACCAAAACAUCAUUCUUUAUAUUAUAUUUGGAACUCUGACUAGGAUAAUGUUGGAUUUGCUCUAACGCACCAUUAGGAUGUUAUUGGAGCAUACAUUUUAUCCAAAUGUCUUAAAUUUUAACUUAUGACAUUGUUGGACUUGACGAUCAAUAUCAACAUAUUUUCUUCGUCUUUUAUAGAAACGAAAUUUACAAUUUCUUCCUCUUUUCGUCCUCUAAAGGAACGAAGUUAAGAAAUUUCUUCAACAAUUUUGUUCAUGUAUGUUGAUGUAUAGUUCGUUCACAAACCGCACAAACAUAUCGAAAAAUUUCUAUACGAUUGCAGAUAUUGUGUUCGUCCAACAAAUCAAUCAGGAUACCCAUUUUUGUCAUGUUUUAUGUUUGAUUAUGAGUGUCUGUUUUUGAAAAUUAUUGGUUCAAAGUACCUCAUUUUUGUGAAGGAUCUGUGAGUACGUCUGUAAAACUGGGACUUAAAAAUGAGACUUAAUGUUAUUUUCAAUUUUAAAUUCAAAAAUGUUUGUUUGAAUUGAAGCUGACUUAAAGUCCUGAAAGUCGGAAAUUGAUUUAAAUGCAGAAGUUAGUUUUAGUUAUUUUUUUCAGUGACUUAAUUAUUUUUAAACUUUUUUUUGAUAAAUAUUAUUCAUAAGACAUAAAUUACAUAUAAAUCACUUUUAUUUUUUUUAUUAUUAUAUUUUUAAUAACUCACAAUUUAUUAAUACCUCAAAAUUAUAUAAACAGAUAUUUUAAACUCUCAGUUAUCACAUAAGUUACAUUAAAUUAUAAAUCACAGCAAGUCAUAAGAGCAAGUCCAAGAGUGUCCUAGUUGAUGUCUUAAAUAUAAUAUAAAAAAUUAUGUCCUAGUGAUUUAGGACAUACUUUUAAAUCAUAAGUCAUAGGAGUUGUUUGGCCAGGUUUAAACUUUUAGAUUUAUAAAUUAGAGACACUUCAAAAAGUAAUUAUAAGAGAUUGAAAAUACUAGUUUUUGUUUCAUGACUUCUACUUCUUUUCUAAACACUUUAUUCAUUUAUUGAUUUAUUUAUUUUUAACUUCUAUUUCAUAUUUUUACUUUAAUCUCGCUCCGUCUCAAUUUACGUACCUCUUUUGCUUUUCGAGAAGUCAAAAUGACUAAUUUUUGACUAACUAAUAAAAUAAUUAUUUAUUUUUUUAGAAAAUAAAAAGUUAUAUAAUAAAAUAUGCUAGAUUUACUCUUCAAUGGUAUUUUUUUUAAACCUUUUUAAAUUAUAUAAUAUAUAUAAAUUUCAGUUAAAAUAUAAUUAUUUUGACUAGUCAAAAGUUAAAAAUAAUAUGUAUAUAGAGACCAAGAGAGUAGAUCCUUAUUUUAAAUUUAUGUAAACGGUCCCAUAAAUUUAGCCGAACCGCUCGAUAUACCAGCUCAGCUCUCGCGCGCUGAUUAAUGUUUACUUGUGAUGGCUUUUCAGAAAAAAAAAAGUUUUACUUGUGAUGCUAUCCCAAAGUCACAACGUAAUUUGAGAGUCCACCAUUGUUGACUUGUGUGUAUGUCUUGUCACAUGAUGGAGGUUAAAUUUGGGCCUAACAUUGAUGCAAUAAUGUUUACAGAUAAACCAGAAUGUCUUUACAUUCUAAGUUAGUGAGCUUAUUUAGGUGUAGAUAUACACAACCUCACGUCUUUACAUUCUGAUGUUUCGAUGCUGAUUGAUCAAACAAAUCAAAUCACAGCCUCACGCAACACAAACAUUUAAUCCUUAUUAUUUUUAAUUUUAUAUUAAUUAUUAAAUAUAAAAACAUUACUAUAUUAAAAUAUUCAUGAAUACGAAUCCGACAAGAUUACUCACGACUAUAUUUAGUCUUAUAAAUUAUACGUGAAAUUUGUCUCAUGUCAUAAACAGUUCUAACAUAUUAAACCGGAAAAGGAAAAAAAAGGGAGGUAGUAGUUUUUAGGGCUUUUUUGUAUUCAUAACCAAGUUUUUAAUCUUAUUUUCAAAAAUACUACAUUCUCCAAUCUUAUUUUCAAAAAUACUACCUUCUUUAAUAUUUUCAAAAAUACGGUGGUUGCAUAUGCAACUGCAAAUUCUGAUUUCAAGUUGCAGUUUUCAAAUGUCAUUUUCGACCUCAUCAUUGGAAUGUAUAUAUAUAUAUAUAUAUAUUGAAAAUAUUUUUAAAAAGAUAGUAUAUUUGAAAGAUUUUAGAGAAGGUAGUAUUUUUGAAAAUAAGAUUGGAGAAAGUAGUAUUUUUGAAAAUAAGAUUGAAAAGCCAGUAUACAAGAUAAUUUCCCUACUUUUUACCGAGUGCAAAUACAAGACCCAUUCUGAUCAAAAUUUAAGGGGUGUAUAUAAUCGGGAUUAUAUCUGAUUUUAAUUUCAUGCUGAUUCAAGAUAAAAUAUCACAAAGCUGAAGAUAAUUUUUAGGAUGUGAGCACAAUGGCUCAAAAUAUCUCAUAAAUUUUGGUGAGAUUCUAAAUAUUUUAAAAUAUAUUGAAAAAUCUCACAUAUCCAUCAUUUUAUUAAGAUUUAAAAAAUUCAUCAGCAUUUGAACAACAUCAAAUUUUAAUAGAUUUAAAAUAACCUCAAUUGAAUAUCAUCGAAUUUUAUACAAACCCCAAAUUAUGUCACCUUGAAAAUUUUUAUGCCCAAUUAUAUGUAGUUGACUAGUCGUUAAUUUUCAUUUCAUUUAUUUACUCAAAACUCAUCCCAACUACCGCAUAGUAACUACUCUUGUUGCAAAUUUAUACCUCUUGCCCCUGUAUCGCCCCUAUCGGUGACGGAUCUAGCACACAAAUAUUAGGGAGACAUCAAGCAAAAUUCCAGAAACACGUAUAUAUUUUUAAAUUUUGUGGAGCCAUAUUUAUAAUUUUGCAAAAUUUAAAAUGAUGAAAAAAUAUAAAAAAAAAUUUAGGAGGCACGUGUCUCCGGUGCCUUUUCCUAGAUUCUCCCUACCCCUCGUUAGUUUUGAUUACCAUGAAUGUACAUUAAGUGUAGCAUUACUCUAGAUAAAUCAGAAAGUUCGCGAACAAGAAACUCAAUUAUUUCAUUGGUCGCACGAACAAGACUUCCCCCAAAUAAUUACUCUUUUUCACCACACAUCACAUUCAUGCAAAUCACCAAACCUCAACCAUCAAAACUUCAGCACAAACACAAAUAGUCCACACACUCCACACACACUCAGACUCAGUGUGGCCAUCUAGCCCUCUCCUCCCAUGGCUUCCUCCACAACAUCAAGCCUAGAGCAAUGGUACCUCAAAGCCGCUAUAAUUGUUGCAUGCUCGGUGCUCGGUUACUUAGUUUACGAUGCCAUAAUGUCCACUGCUGCUGAGCUCCUGCAAAGGUUGCUGAUAAUCUCUCCUCUGCUCCUAGUCUUUCUAGUUCACUUGCUCUCCACACCGAACCAGGUUAGCAUUUCGGUCCCUGGUUCGGAGCCUGAUGCGAUUUAUGGAGCCGGAGGGUCGCCCUGGGGGAUUGCCAUGCUGCUUCUGUUGCUGUAUUUUCUCAUCAUGUAUCAGCCUUCAUUCAAUGCCCUUGUUUUCUACAUUUUUAUGACUAUUGUCACGCUUAGGGUGGUGCUGUAUUAGUAUGCUUCUGGUGUAACUUUGUGCUCUGAACUUAACUAGCUCAAGUGGUUAAGAGUUUAUCCUCGGUUGUCCUAGGUGCUGGGUUCGACCCUGGUUCACCUGAGAAUUUAUUAGAGCCAAAAAAAAAAAAGUAUAAUGUUGUGAUAUAUAUGUUGCAUGUAUUCAUCUGAUUCUCAAAUGUGAUGGUUUGUGUUAGUAAUAUAUUGUGGUCUCCUGAAUCUAGUGAAUUAAUCUACUUGCAUAUAAGGUGGAAAAAUAGUUGCGGAUUCUUUGUUUUGCAGGUUCACCAUAGCUAGGAUUAUUGGUAAAGCAUUGUGAAAGAUAGCUCACUAAUUUUGAAAAUUGAUGCAGGAAACUGAUGAGGUGGUCCUCUACUUGAUGUUUUUCAUUUACUUCUCUAAUCUUAGGUUAGAAUGUAGAAACAGAUUUGACAGUCUAAGUCUAAUAAUUUUGCUACACGUACUCUGUUAAUUUGCUGAGGAUUCACAAUUCGAGACAAAA
rnacentral:lncRNA from 1 species